UUUAUAUCACUUUAAUUCUCUAAAGCCUUAUUUACUAGAAAAUUAGUCAUGGAUUAAACCAAAAAGAAUUCUAGGAACCAACUCAAUCUCAAAAAUACCAAAAGAUGUGACUAAAAGUAGGAUUAUGAGCCUCAUUUUACCGAUUUAUUCUGAGGAAUAGGCUAUUCUAAUGUUAAAAGAAAGAACUAAAAUAACAGUCAUAAGCAUCUUGUUCAAUUUUUAAAACAAUUUCCAAAGACAACUUUCCGCACAUUCCAUGUUUGGGAGCAGAAUCACUAAGCAAAGCAAAGACCAUAACAUAAGUUAGGAUAAGUUUUAAUAAGAAUCGAUAACACAAAUGCAAAGUUAAUCUCCCUAAAUGGCCCUUUCAAUGCUUGAUUCACCAUAAAACAACGAGCAAAUAGAAUAAGAAAAGAGAUGAACCUAAAUGAGGUUUCAAUUAAUUUGUUGAAGAUUGCAAUUACAAGCGAAACUGAUAUCAAAAUCAUUGAAGAACCAAUAAACUUCAAACCGAAACCACUGGAUUUAAACCUUGAACGAUAGCCAACAACGGUGAUGAGCUUGAAAGCACUCCUCCUCAAUCAAAUUCCAUCCUUGAAAUUAAAUCUUGAAAUCAAAGGAAGAAGCAGGAAUGUAUUUUUGUUUUUUUCCUUCUGAAAUCUAAAAUAAAGAAAAACCUGAAAAUCCGAAAAUGAAUCUCAAAGAAAGAACCCUAGCUUUUCCUCUCUCUCAAACCUUUUUUUUUAAAAAAUCUUCUCCGAAAUUUUCUUCUUGAACCCUCUCCUUGUGUCCAAAAACCUCCAAAUAUAUACCUCACUCUCGAAUCUUCUUCUUUUUCACCAAGAAAACGCGUGGGACCACAAAACAAAUCCAAAAAUCCCUUCAAUGGACGAGAUAAGACAAAUGGAGGGAGUAGAUCGAGUGUAACUCGAUCCUACGCACCCCAUUUUUCUAUUCUGGCCUAAAAGAAACAAAUUCGGAAAAAGAAAAAUGAAGAGAAAAACAAGUGAAAAUAAUGAAGCUUGGUACUGAAUGUGUGAUGUGGAAGAAGGAGAGAAGAAAAGGGGGGACCAUGAAUGAGAUUGGGGUGGAGUUAUGGUGGGUUUGGGUGUUGUUGAAUGGCAGUGAAGCUUAGAGAUUGGGGGGGCUGGUUGGGAUCUCUUUAGGUUUAGAGUUGUGACAAAAAAAAUCUUUAUAUGGGGUAGGGAAUAAACAAGGGUCGUUGAAUUUAACUAGAUCAAGGGCUGAGAUUAAUCUAAGAGGGCUAAUGGGUUAUGGGCUGGAAGGCAUCGAGUCAGGCAAUUUGGGCUAUGGGGUGUUGGAAUUGAGUGGAAGAUCUGGAUUGGGCCUUAUGAAAUUCUUGUUGAACAAAAAACAAAAAGCAAAACGAAAAAAAUGAAAAUCCUACAAACAUAUUAAUUAAUCUUAGUUAAUUAAAUAUACUAUUAAAACUAUUAUUAUUAUUAUUAUUAUUAUUAUUAUUAUUAUUAUUAUUUAUAUUUUCAAACAUUAUAUUAAUAUAAAAUUUAGAAAGAGUAGAUUAAAAGUUAUGGUAAAGCUAAAUUAAUAUCACUAUUGAAGUGUUGAUGAUCUUAUACUAAAAUGAAAAAUAUAAUAAGAUGAGAAAUAUUAUAAAUAAAACUAUCCUUGUAUUUUUGACUUUAUAUUCUAAAAUUUAAAAUAAGAGUAUAUUAGAAUCUAAUUAGAAUAAUCCAAGUAAAUAUAUUAAAAUACUAAAGAUACUAAACUAACUUUAAAAGUGCGCGAGUCAAAAAUUAUGUGCUUACAGUUGCCCCUCUUUGCAUGAAAACUCGAAGAGUUUUUGAGCAAAGAAUUAAGUAAGCAACGUAAUUGAGUUCUGACCCGGCACUUAUUCAAAAGAAGAUAAAGAUGGAUAAAGAUUGCGACCGAGCCCUGGUAUCUGAGCUGCCUGCAUAUCCUUGGCUAUAAAGGAAUCAAGUCACGUGUAGUUCAGAAGUAAAAAGAGUGUAGAAGGAUACCGAGGUGGAGAGCCGAGUGAAGUGUCGUCGAGGUUCCGGUCCGCGGUUCCUGUCAUUACAUCAAAAAUAAAAGAAAAAUACAAGAUCAUAUCUACUUCUUGUCUUGAAUCUUCUUUGAAUUUCUACUUGAUCUUUCAACAUGAAACUGAAAAAUGGACCCUGUUCUUCAGGCGGGCUCCUGAUGCUUCUCUGACUUGAACUUGGAAAUUAAAAUUGACCCUGUUCUUCAGGCGGGUUCCUGAUGUCUCUUGAAUUUGAGAAUCGAAAGUAACUUUGAAAUGAAUUUCCUUAUUUUCCAGGUAGGUGCCUGAUUACCAAAACUUGAACUGUAUUCCCUUGUUCUCCAGGUGGGCGCCUGAUUGCAAAACUUGAAUUGUACUCCCUUGUUCUCUAGGUNNNNNNNNNNNNNNNNNNNNNNNNNNNNNNNNNNNNNNNNNNNNNNNNNNNNNNNNNNNNNNNNNNNNNNNNNNNNNNNNNNNNNNNNNNNNNNNNNNNNNNNNNNNNNNNNNNNNNNNNNNNNNNNNNNNNNNNNNNNNNNNNNNNNNNNNNNNNNNNNNNNNNNNNNNNNNNNNNNNNNNNNNNNNNNNNNNNNNNNNNNNNNNNNNNNNNNNNNNNNNNNNNNNNNNNNNNNNNNNNNNNNNNGGGUCCUGAAAAGCCGAGAAUGAACUUACCUGAGCCAUGCUCUCUUCUUGGAGGAUUCUAAACAGAAUUUUUUGCCCCUGAACCAUGCCUUCUUCAUGGGGGGUCCCUGUGGAUUAACAAAUUUUCUUGCCCCUGUUUGAGACAAAUAAAAUUUUGUUAGUUUGAAAACUUGGUGGUUAGUUUGUGGCAUCAUUGCUGAGUGUCUGCUUCUGCUACCGCCAUGCUUCAUUCUGAUUAGCUGCUUCUGGCUAGCAAGGAGUUGUUUGAGCUUUUGAUUGGAACUGGACCACAAAACCUCUAAAUGACCUGAAUCUCUUACACUCACUUGUUGCAUUGUGUUUUCAUUCUGAAAGUUGCUGAAUCACUGUAUUUUCUCAAAAUUCAAGAUUUAUUUGAUUGCCUGAACCUCAGUUAUCACCAUACUGCUUAUUCUAAAUCAUGUCAAUUGUGAUGUGCUUGGCCAAACACCGCUUUGUGCAAUUUAGAAGGUGGUAGUAGUCUUUGGAAUCCUUUCCUGCUUGUUCAACAAGGGCUAACUCGAAAGAGACUCAUAAAGAUAGACUCAAAGAGCAAAGUGAAAUGAUUUUGGCAAAAGGAACAAAAGAAAAUUUUGAACACAAAUGACUAUGUGAAGAAGAAGGGGAAAAAGAAGACUUAUCUGAGUGAAGCGGCUAGCUCCAAUGAUCAUGACAUGCAUUUAGGAUUGAUCAGCCUAAUCCAUCCAACCAAUCAUAUUUCCAGUUCAUGUCAUGUCUUCAUACUUCAAAAUCGGGCUUUUACUGAUCCAAUUUCUCUGUAAAGUCACGAGCCUCAUUCGACUUGUAGUGCCUACGUAUCCUUAAAAGGCUGCCUACGUAUCCUUAAAAGGAAUCCGGUCGAACGUAGUUCAAACAAAAGUUGUUUGUUUUUGUUGCUUUUAUUUCUUCCUUUUCAUUUUUUUUCUUCUUCUUUUUCUUCUCUUUUUUUUCCUUUUUUCUUUCUUUCUUCUUCUUUUUUUUCUUUUUCUUUUUCUUUUUUUUUCUUCAUUUUUUUUCAUCAUUUUUUUCAUUCUCUAAAUCUGUAACUGAUUUCAAAAGAGGGGUAUGAAAGAAAAUAAAUAAGGCUCAAAAGGGGUAACAAAGCAUGAAAGUGUUUGGGUUGCAGAACAAAAUGACUUCGUCAUUUCAACUUUGACCAUGCCAAGUACAAAAUACAAUUGAAGGUAAGCAAAGCAAUCAUACAUAGUACCUCUUAACUGCAUCAGUAUUGAUAGCCAUAUCUACAUAUUUGUCUUCUAUGUCUGUUAAAUACAAAGCGCCAUUGGGAAACACUCUUGUCACAAUGAAUGGCCCCUGCCAGUUUGGGGCGAACUUGCCUUUAGGUUCCACCUGAUGAGGAAGGAUGCGUUUCAAUACCAUCUGGCCCACUUCAAAUAUUCGAGGACACACCUUUUUGUUGUAUGCUCUUGCCAUUCUCUUAUGAUACAAUUGACUAUGGCAUACUGCAGCCAAUAUUUUCUUAUCAAUCAAACUCAACUGUUCAGUCGGGUUUUGACCCAGUCAUCAUCAUCAAUUUCAGCUUCUGCAACGAUCCGAAAGGAUGGAAUUUCAACUUCCGCAGGUACAACUGCCUCAGUUCUAUAUACCAUCAAAUAAGGAGUUGCUUUUGACCCACUCAUCAUCAUCAAUUUCAGCUUCUGCAACGUUUCGAAGGGAUGGAAUCUCAACUUCCACAGGUAUAACUGCCUCAGUUUCAUAUACCAGCAAAUAAGGAGUUGCACCUAGUAGUGUGAUAACCCAGUAAGGCAACUUUUCAUGCCAUUGCCUGAACCUUUCACCACCGUACGAAGUAUCUUCUUUAUGUUCUUGUUAGCAGCCUCAACAACUCUAUUUGCCUUGGGGCGAUACGUAGUGGAGUUUCGAUGCAUGAUCUUGAACUGCUGGCAUACCUCUUUCAUCAAAUGACUGUUGAGAUUAGCAGCAUUGUCUGUUAUGAUCACCUUGAGAAUUCCAAACCGACAAAUGAUAUUUGAAUGAUCAAAAUCCACCACUGCCUUCUUGGUCACGGACUUGAAAGUUACAGCUUCGACCCACUUGGUAAAGUAAUCAAUGGCCACCAGAAUAAACCUAUGCCUGUUUGACGCUACCGGCUCAAUUGGUCCAAUGACAUCCAUGCCCCAAGCAACAAAGGGCCAAGGUGCAGACAUUGUGUGUAACUCAAAUGGGGGAGAAUGAAUCAAAUCACCGUGUACCUAGCAUUCAUGACACUUGCGAACAAAACUGAUACAAUCCCGUUCCAUGGUGAGCCAAUAAUAACCUGCUCGAAGUAUCUUUUUUGCCAAGACUUACCCAUUCAUAUGCAGCCCGCAAACUCCAGAAUGUACUUCGGCCAUGAUAGUUGAAGCUUCUUUAGCAUCUAUGCACCUCAUCAGUCUUAAAUCUGGAGUCCUCUUGUACAAGAUUCCCCCACUUAAGAAAAAUCCACGAGCCAGACGUCGAAUGGUUCUCUUUUGAUCACCCGUGGCAUGUAGUGGAUAUACUCCCAACUUGAUGUAUUCCUUGAUAUCAUGGAACCAAGGUUCGCCAUCAAUUUCCUCUUCAACCAUAUUACAAUAAGCAUGUUGAUCAUGAACUUGGAUAUGCAUGGGUUGACAUAAGCCUUGUCCGGAUGAUGUAACAUUGACACUAGAGUAUCCAAGGCAUUGGCAAUCUCAUUAUGAACUCUGGGAAUAUGUCUCAAUUCUACCGACCUGAAUCAUUGAUAAAGAUCUUGCAGACACUAUCGGUACGAUAUGAGCUUCAAGUCUCGAGUCUCCCAUUCUCCUUGAAUCUGGUGAACCAACAAAUCUGAAUCUCCCAGAACCAGUAUUUCCUGGACGCCCAUGUCUAUAGCUAACCUCAAACCCAGAAUGCAUGCUUCGUACUCAGCCAUCUUAUUGGUGCAAUAAAAUUGAAGCUGGGCUAUUAUAGGGUAGUGUUGCCCUAUUUCAGAGAUGAGUACAGCCCCUAUUCCGACACCUUUCAUGUUAGCAGCUCCAUCAAAGAAGAGUUUCCAAUGUGGAUUUUCAUCAUGGUCCACCUCGUCAACAUGCAUCACUUCCUCAUCAGGAAAAUAAGUCUUUAGUGGCUCAUAUUCUUCAUCUAUCGGAUUCUCAGCCAAGUGGUCAGCCAAGGCUUAGGCUUUCAUCGCGGUCCGAGUCACAUAGAUGAUGUCAAACUCUGUAAGUAAAAUUUGCCACUUUGCAAGUCUUUCCAUGGGCGUAGGCUUUUGAAAGAUAUACUUUAGAGGAUCCAUGCGAGAAAUGAGGUAAGUAGUGUAGGACGACAGAUAAUGCUUCAACUUUUGUACCACCCAAGUUAGGGCGCAACAUGUCCUCUCAUGUAGAGUGUACUUAACCUCAUAGGGAGUGAACUUCUUACUGAGAUAAUAGAUUGUGCUCAUUCUUUCCCAUUGUCACACCUUCUUUUUCUAUCUCGGAAAGGGAUAUAAGGGAGUUUUUUCCAAUUAAAACGACAAUCGAAACGAGAUUAUUCUAUUUAAAAUCAGAGUCGUCACUUGGGAUAAUUUAUGGUAUCCCAAGUCAUCGGUUUCAAAUCCCGAAUCAAGGAAAAAUUGACUCUGUUUUACAGUCCGCGAACACAAAAUUCCGGGUAAGGAAUUCUGUUAACCCGGGAGAAGGUGUUAGGCAUUCUCGGGUUCCGUGGUUCUAGCACGGUCGCUCAACUAUUAUUUUUUGGCUCAAUUAUCCGAUUUUAAAACACCUGUAAACCUAUGUGAAUUUUUAACUAUAAAAUCGCUUUUAUUUAUUUAAAGAAUUCAUUCAAGGUUAUUUAAAACACAUCGCAAGCCACGCUAUAUGAAAUGGACCCGUAGUUCACGACACGUUCUAUUUAACCUUGUUGGAAAUUAAGACCGGGUCUCAUAAAAUGCACCCCCAAAUUUUGGUGGUUAAGCGUCAUAACUACAUCAUGGGAACCGUACCCGUAACAAUGAUAAUUAUUUAACUAACGCGCCUAAAGCUAACUACAAGAGUUUAGGGCAUAAUAGAUCAUUCAUCAUUGAAGGCCUUGGUCAUAUUCUAAUAUUAGCAAAAGGCCCUACGUUACUGCUUGAAAUUAAACAAAGCCUUCCAAAGCUUAUUCUAGUGGCCCAACAUUUAAUCCAAAGUCCACUCUUAAAUGACUACCACAGUAACCUAAAUGCUACAAAACUUCAGUCCAAAUUUCAACUAUCAAAUCUCAUGGCCCAAUUACUUUGGUAAUCUAGCCUAAAAUACCGAACCUCACUUCUUGUUUCUGCUCAUCUAAUUCAAACAUUAAUAAUCAAGCAAUGUAAUAGAAACACAGUCACCAAAUUUCAUAUUAUCUAAAAUCAAGCAUGAGAUGGAAAGAAAUAAGUGAAAUAGGACAAGAGUCGGACCUCAAACUGGACAGAAACAACUUCAAAAACUCGAUUAAGCAUGAAAUCCAAAACCAAGAACUUUACAGCAUAAGGUCGUGGACACAGAACUCGAAUAACAACUUGAAAUUAAUAGUAAACCUCCUGUCGGAACUUCGAGUGGCAACCUCACUUUGAUGGUGUUUCACGACAGCGUCUCGAUGGUGGAGUGCGACGGAAUUUUUGAUAGAGUUUUGGAUGGCUUCAAAGUGGUGGGUUUCAACGAGUGAAUAAGUUAUAGAGAGACAGUGAGGUAAAGGUUUAACAUAGUUUCAUGGCCGCAAUGGACUGGUAGAGUGGGGGGGGGGGGUUCUCUUGUGUGUUAUGGCUGAGCAGCGUCAAGGAUGGUCGCUGGUUACUGCUUGUUUUCCGGCGAGAUUGACGGUUGUUCUGCUGAUUUUUAGCUAGACUUAGUGGCGUGAGGGUGGCUGCUCAUUUGGUGGUCUUUUCAACUCGUUUUCCGGCGAGCUUAUCACUGUUUCUGCUGGAUUUUGGGCCAGUUAUGGUAGCGACAGAUGUGAGAGGGUGGAACGGUAGCAGUGUGUGUAUGUGUUAGUACUGGUGUCGCUGGGCUGCUAUGGAGGAGUUCCUUUUUAGAUUGUGUAUUUUGAAGAAGAAGAUAGCCUAGGGUUUUUGUCUAUGCCUUUCUAUGAAGAAGAAGAAGAAAGCUGAUGGGGUCUAUUUUUUGAGCUAUAUAACUGAUUUCUAUUGUUAGUUCCUUUAGGUUUUUUGUUUUGAGAAGAUGAAAAGCUUAGGUCCUUGUGUUUUUUCUUUUGUUGUCUCCAUAAUAAAAACGACUUAUGUGCUAAGUGUAGUCUAUAGGGUCUUUUUAUUUAUUUUGUCAAGAAGAGUCUAGAAGGUCUUCUAGGGUUAGCUUUAUGGGUAAUGGGUAUUGGGCUUGGAAUUAUGGGCCAAGAAAUUGGUUUAAUUGGCUACACGCAAAACUAAAUUAGUCCAAAAAAUUAAUUCUAGUCCCACUUUUUUUUUGUAUGUAAAAAUAAUAUAGAAAACGAGAUAAACUAUUAAAAAUACUACUAAAUAUUACUUAAGAAAAUAACUAUUAAAAUAACACUAACAGUUUAAAAACAAACCUAUUUUUGGUUUUUUUUUCACGGUUAAAAAUGACUACAAAAUAUUAAUGAAACUAUUUUUUGUAAUUUUUAUUUUCUUGUAAUAAAAUAAAGUAAAAGAGUCAAAAUUAGUUAAAAUAAAGAUAUUAGCCCUAAACUAAAUAUUUACAUGCUAAAAUAUAAAAAAUCUUGGGGAGGGUCAAAAAUCACAUGUCUACAGCUGCCCCUCUUUGACUGGAAAUACGAAGUAUUUUCAGACAAAGAACGACUAGACAGGUUUUUUGACCCGACCCUUAUUUAAGGAGACCAAAAACUAAGAGAAAGGAGAAUGUGACCGAGCCCUGAUAUCUGAGCUGCCUACAUAUCCUUGGCUAUAAAGGAAUCAGGCCACGUGUAGUUCAGAAGUGAGUGAAAUGAUGGAGUAUACCGAGGUGGAUAGCCGUUCGAGGUGUCAUUCUGUCGAAGUUCCGGUCUGCGGUCCUGUUAUUACGUCAAAAAUCAAAAAAUGAAAAAGACUAGCUAAGCCUGUCAACUACGAGUUAAAAGAUUCCUAUCUAUAAGUCUUCUAAAACUUGAUCUUGAGUCUUGAAUGGUUCUUCAUGCAGACUUUAGAUUUGAACCUUGACGCUUGCUAGUUGCAGGUGCUAGUUCAUUCUUCUUCAGCUUUUCGGAUCAAAUUCGGACAUACCAUGCUUGUGACUUCAGUCAUGUCUUGAACAGCUCACAUCUUUCAUCAACUUCUACAUUUGGAUUCACUUCUUGCCUUUCUUCUUUAUUCUGGAUUGUGACUAACUUCCGUAGAUCAUCUCGGACUAUUGACUCGCAUUCUUGCCGCGAGUUUCUUUUGUUGCUGACUUGAAUUGCAUUCUAAAGUGAAUUCCUUUAUUCUCCAGGUAGCAUCUGAUUGCCAACAUUUAAACUGUAUUCCCUUGUUCUCCAAGCGGGCGCUUGAUUAUCAAAACCUGAAUUGUCUUCCCUUUGUUACCUUAAACUGUUUUCCCUUGAAACUUGUGUUGUGUUCCUUUGAACAUUGCUGCUUUCCCUUUGUUCUCCAGGUGGGUGCUUGAUUGCCAACGUUUGCACUAUUUUUUCUUGAGACUUGAACUGUUUCCCUUUGUUAUCCAAGUGGCUCCUGAUUGUUGUCUUCCUUUGAACAUUGCUGCUUUCCCUUUGUUCUCCAGGUGUGCUCCUGAUUAGCAACACUUGAAUUCCCUUUGUUCUCCAGGUAGGCUCCUGAUUACCAGCACUUGAAUUGCUUUCCCUUUGUUCUCCAAGUAGGCUCCUGAUUACCAACGCUUGAAUUGCUUUUCCUUUGUUCUCGAGGAGGGCUCCUGAUUACCAACACUUGAAUUGCUUUCCCUUUGUUCUCCAGGUAGGCUCCUGAUUUCCGACACUUGAGUUGCUUUCCCUUUGUUAUCCAGGUAGGCUCCUAAUUUCCAACACUUGAACUAUCCUCUUCUUGAAACUGCUUUUCCUUUGAACUAUCCUCCCUUUUUUCUCCAAGUGGGUGCCUGAUUUCCAAAACUUUAAGUGCUUUGUAUUCUUGAAACUCGUGCUGUCUUCCCUUGUUCUUCAGGUGGGUACCUGAUUUCAACAAAACAGACAAAACAAAAGAAAUUUUCCUGCCCCAGUUUGGUAUUGGGAACAUCUGUGAUUGUUAACCAAUUCUUGUUAUCAAAAUAAAUUCUAAAAUAAAUUCUCUUAUCCUGAAAAUUUCAAACCAAGUCUCAUCUCAAAAGUAAAAAAAAAACUUAAAACGUUGAAUUAUACUUUCCAAAAGUAGAACUUACGCUAAAUCUUGUUAUCUAUGAAGGUCUUGAAAUUUAACUAGAUCCCAUUAUCCAAGAAGAUCCUCAGAACUUUAAAUUAAUCUUAUUAUCCAGGAGGGUCCUGAACACUUAAAACUAAAUCCCAUUAUACAGGGGGGUCCUGAAACUUUUAAAUUAAGUCCCAUUAUCUAGGAGGGUCCUGAGAAUUUUAAAUUAAAUCUCAUUAUCCAGGAGGGUCCUAAAAAGUCGUGAAUGAACUUACCUGAGCCAUACUUGCUUCUUGGAGGAUCUCUGCAGAGCGAACAAAAUUCCUUGCCCCUGAACCAUGCUUUUCCUCAUGGAGGGUUCCUGUAGAUCAAACAAAUUUUCUUUCCCCUUCUCAAACCGCCUUUGUGCUGAUAAAAUUUGGGCACGACACUUGAAAAAAAAUUCAAACUUCCAAGCUUUGAUUUGGACUCAAUUUUCGUCCCUGUUUCAAACAAAGAAAACUUGUGAGUUUAUAAAUAUGGUGGUUGGUNNNNNNNNNNNNNNNNNNNNNNNNNNNNNNNNNNNNNNNNNNNNNNNNNNNNNNNNNNNNNNNNNNNNNNNNNNNNNNNNNNNNNNNNNNNNNNNNNNNNNNNNNNNNNNNNNNNNNNNNNNNNNNNNNNNNNNNNNNNNNNNNNNNNNNNNNNNNNNNNNNNNNNNNNNNNNNNNNNNNNNNNNNNNNNNNNNNNNNNNNNNNNNNNNNNNNNNNNNNNNNNNNNNNNNNNNNNNNNNNNNNNNNNNNNNNNNNNNNNNNNNNNNNNNNNNNNNNNNNNNNNNNNNNNNNNNNNNNNNNNNNNNNNNNNNNNNNNNNNNNNNNNNNNNNNNNNNNNNNNNNNNNNNNNNNNNNNNNNNNNNNNNNNNNNNNNNNNNNNNNNNNNNNNNNNNNNNNNNNNNNNNNNNNNNNNNNNNNNNNNNNNNNNNNNNNNNNNNNNNNNNNNNNNNNNNNNNNNNNNNNNNNNNNNNNNNNNNNNNNNNNNNNNNNNNNNNNNNNNNNNNNNNNNNNNNNNNNNNNNNNNNNNNNNNNNNNNNNNNNNNNNNNNNNNNNNNNNNNNNNNNNNNNNNNNNNNNNNNNNNNNNNNNNNNNNNNNNNNNNNNNNNNNNNNNNNNNNNNNNNNNNNNNNNNNNNNNNNNNNNNNNNNNNNNNNNNNNNNNNNNNNNNNNNNNNNNNNNNNNNNNNNNNNNNNNNNNNNNNNNNNNNNNNNNNNNNNNNNNNNNNNNNNNNNNNNNNNNNNNNNNNNNNNNNNNNNNNNNNNNNNNNNNNNNNNNNNNNNNNNNNNNNNNNNNNNNNNNNNNNNNNNNNNNNNNNNNNNNNNNNNNNNNNNNNNNNNNNNNNNNNNNNNNNNNNNNNNNNNNNNNNNNNNNNNNNNNNNNNNNNNNNNNNNNNNNNNNNNNNNNNNNNNNNNNNNNNNNNNNNNNNNNNNNNNNNNNNNNNNNNNNNNNNNNNNNNNNNNNNNNNNNNNNNNNNNNNNNNNNNNNNNNNNNNNNNNNNNNNNNNNNNNNNNNNNNNNNNNNNNNNNNNNNNNNNNNNNNNNNNNNNNNNNNNNNNNNNNNNNNNNNNNNNNNNNNNNNNNNNNNNNNNNNNNNNNNNNNNNNNNNNNNNNNNNNNNNNNNNNNNNNNNNNNNNNNNNNNNNNNNNNNNNNNNNNNNNNNNNNNNNNNNNNNNNNNNNNNNNNNNNNNNNNNNNNNNNNNNNNNNNNNNNNNNNNNNNNNNNNNNNNNNNNNNNNNNNNNNNNNNNNNNNNNNNNNNNNNNNNNNNNNNNNNNNNNNNNNNNNNNNAAUUCACGUAUCCUUGUUCGACUUGUAGUGCCCGAAGGGUUUCACCAUCAAGCCUCUCUCAUUUUGUUCUUUCUCUCAACUCACCAUCGCCUUAUGGUGCCUGUGAAGGUUUUCACCAAUAAGACUCUCUCAUUUAGUUCUUUUCUUCUUACUUCCUCUGAUUCUGUAGAUGACGGGGCAUUAACCAUAGUAAAAGAUCAUAUGCUCUUGGCAUAUCUAAACUCAGCACUCUCAAAGAUUAUCUGGGAAGUCUUUUUUGGACUGUAAUGUGAGCUUUUGGAUAAGGUUAGAAAGAAAGGAUAUCAUAAAAGCUCAAAAUAACUAAGACAACGGGAUUAAUUUAUUUACAACUUUUGGAAUCCACUCUAAAAACUUUGUCCCAAUUUCUAAAACAAAGGAAUUUGAUUCUCUUUUUGUUUUGUUUUUGUUUUUCUUUUUUUUUAAAUGGAAUUUCUAAGAAAGACUACCCCACUCUCGAUUUUGUGGGAUUAUGAAAUAUUUUAUUUGGUAUGACCGAACCGUAAGGCUGCCUUCGUAUCUUGUGGUGACAAGAAUCAGGUCAAACGUAGUUCACAAAGAUACGUUUUGUUGUUGCUAUUUUUCUUUUUCUUUUCUUUCUUUUGUCCUCUUUUUUUUUAAUCCUUAUUUUUCUCUUCUUCUUUUUUUUUUUAAUUUUCCUUUUGGAAUGAACUUUUUAAAAUAAACUUAUGGGGACAAAAACUUUUUUUUCCGCAUGACUCUAACUUGAUUCCAAAAGAUGGGAGGUCAAAGAAAUUAGUACAUGCUCAAAAGGGUAUCAAAUGGUAUAAGUUUUUGGGUAGCUGAAAGAGUGCCUCCCAAUCCCUAAAAAUGUCGAGUACAACACAUGCAACUUGAAAUGAAAAAGAAAGAGCACACACAACAUUUCUUUUACAGCUUCGACAUUGAUAUCACUGAUAUGCUUUCCAAUUUUUUUGUCUUUUUUUUUCUUUUUAGUGCCUUGUCAAGUACAAAACUCUCAUUGGGUGAUUUCUUCUUCACAAUGGAUACUCUCCGUCUGUUUGGAGCAAAUUCCCUUGACUUUAUCUUGUUACUUGAGGUACACUUGAACUCAAAACUGCUUGCUUCAAAUUGUCUGGGAUGUACUCUCAUUUACUGAAUUCUUGUCAUCUUAUUAACUUCCCAAAUUAUCUGCCCCAGUUUCACGUGGUUCGGGCUUCAUAUGAUCUCAAAAUGCCUUUACUUAUUUCCCUGAAAUGUCCCUCUUCAAAACUUGUUUCAUUGCUUCAUGAUUAGACUAACUUUUAAGACCAGGCUAAGAAUUAUGCGUGUAUGUCAUGUCACUAGAACCAGCAUCAAAAGAACUAUAAAAGGAGAAGAGAACUAAACAAAAUUGACUAGAAAUAACAUAAAGUAGAAAAUUGCAUUAGAUAGACAGUGAAAGGGUUUGAACAACAAAACAAGCAAAAUAAAUUGGGAUACAACACUGGAACAAACCUAGACAACACUAAAUGAGUCACUACGACUAAAGGAACUAGGAAAAAUAAAAGGAUAGAAGGGUUUGAGUCAUAAGACAAUAUCCGGAUUGCAACCCUGAAAUAACCCGUACAACAGAAAUGACAACAAAAUGAACCACCAAGACUCCUCUUCGGCUAGCCAAGAAAGGAGCGUCUUUCCAGUUACCAAGCUUGGCAUCUUAGCCACUGAGUUCCACAUCAAUAUUACCAAGACCAUUACCACUUUCAAUAUUAUUAACUUCACCAAGUGGCUCAUUGAUUCCCUUAACCAACCCUUCGUCAUUGCAAACCAUCCCAACAAUCUGUGCAUUGUCAUGUACCUAUAGAGGAUUAUGUAUGACACUUGGGGUAUUACUACCUUGGACCACAAUUAUUCCUUCUUGAAUCAUUCUUUCUAUUUCCCUUUUCAAAGCACGACAAUCUUCAAUGCUAUGCCCUUGGACAUUAGAGUGGUACAUGCACCGUACAGUAGGAUCAAAACCUUUUGCAUAUGGGUUUGGCGUAUAGUCGAGGAGCGGCUCAAUCAGGCUAGAAAGUUUUAACUUUUCAAACAAGCUUGUGUAGGAUUCUCUGAUUGGCAUGAAAUUAUCUUUUUGCCUUUGUUUCCCCCCAUGCCUAUGUUUUUUAGGGUUAUAUGGUGCUCGAAAAUGUUGUGAAGGCGCACGAGAAUUUUGGGAUACUGGUGCUCGCCUUAGGGAGUGACCUAGUGGUUGGACAAAUGGACAGAUGUUGUUCGGAAGAUAAUACUAGGGUGGAUUAUAUGGAGUUUGGGGAUGUUCAUGGGGUCGAUAUUGAGGCUGAAAGCGUUUAACAGGAAUGCCCACUGGAUCCUAUCGUUGGUGGGGCUCGGUAACAUCUUUUAUAUCAAUGGGAGGACUGUCCCGAGCAACUUGUGCGUUCCAUCUGAACCAAAAUUCCUUCAAUCUUUCCUUAGGUUUCUUUUUCAUCUGAGAUAGGAAGGAGCGGUCUGGGACAAUGCAUAUAUUGUACUGAAAGUGUCGCACAAAAUCUUGAGCCAUGUCAUCCUAUGUAUGCCACUUACCGAUAUCUUGACGAGUAUACCAUUCCAAAGCUGCCCCAGUCAGGCUCUCACUGAAAUACGUCAUCAGCAACUCAUCUUUCCCGCCAACACUUCUCAUUUCACUGCAAUAACCCCUUAGGUGGGCUACUGGAUCUCCCCGCCUAUCAUACAAAGUAAACUUGGCAUCUUAAACCCUUUCAGUUUUCUGGAUAUCUCAUCUUGCUCCACUGUCUUAGUAGGCUUUGCGGUUUCACUGGGAGGCUCAAAAUGAGGAGCGUAAGAGUAUGGAAUUGAGACCUUGAAAGUUGGUUCUAGAGCAUAGUAUUGGACAUCGGGGACUUUGAAAACAGUCUCGCUAGAGGAUUGACGAAAAGUAGCUAGAGGAGGAGCUACAAAAGCAUGAGUGGCCAAAGGAGCGGGAUAUGAGAUGCUUUUGGCGGGUAGAGUGUGAAAAGGUUGUGGGGAGAUAUCAGCAGCUCUGGGAAUCUGGAUUUGUGAUAGUGGUGGGAUAGUUGCAGGGUUUUCAGUAUAGUUAGUAGGGAAUGAAGGUGGAGGAUGCCCCUGAUCCAAGACUAAUACAUUUCUGCCAUCUACUGUUUCAACAUCUGGACCUCCCUUUUCAAUUUAGACUCCGAUUCCACAAACUCCCUCGACGGGUCAACAACUCCUGUGUCCAAGUCUUUGCUAGCCAUGGCUACCUUGCUCUUUGACCUUGUGUUGUAUGGAAGAGUUGCCAGUUUAAGAACCACAAACAAACCACCCUUCUACUCAAUGAGGAUAACAAAGAGGAACAAAAUGAAGUCAUCAUGUUAGUCUUAGGGCAUUUAACAACUAAAAAUAUCACAUUACGUGGAAUGCACCUAGCAACAAUUAACGGUUCAAGAAUGACUUCGAGGGUCACAAGGUCACUUGGCAUCAUCCCAAUUUGUUCGUUUCAAUCCUCUCUUUUCUUUCUUUUUCUAGCACUUCUUGGCUUGCUCAUUUUCCUUCCUCUUCUCUUUUUUUAAUCAUCACUCUUUUCUUUCCUCUCAUUUCUCACAUCCCAUAAUUUCACCUCUUUUUUUCUUUCUUUUUCUUUUUUUUUCCUUUUUUUAAUAAAAUAAAAAAUGAUUCGAUCAAACCCUAUUUAGGUUGCCUACGUAUCAUAACGCCGUAUGAAUCAGAUCUUUGCGUAGUUCGGGAAGAUCGAGAAUAAAGUAAACAGACUAACGUUCUCAUUUUUUUCUUUUUUUUUGUCUUAAUGACUACUCUGAUGAGAAAAGAGAAAUAAAAGAAGCAAAUCCUUUUUUUUUUCUUCUAGACUUAAUGUUCUAUAAUCUAUUCCAAACUCAAGCUUAAUAAGCAUAUUUUUUUUUGUCUCCUUGAAACAAAUAAUCUAUGGGAAAUUAUUAAGGAAAAAACACUAUAGGAGAAAAAUAUUUUUUUGAUUCUUUUUUUAAGAAAGAAAAUCUAAAGAAUAAACCAAAGAAAAAUAUUUUGAAUUUUCAUUUGAUAUCCCUGAAUAAAGAUUUCGAAACGAGAAAUGAACAAGAUAAAAAAUAUUUUUGGAUUUUAGUUUUGAUUACCUAAGGGAGAAACUCUGAAAAUAAACCAAAGAUAAAGUAAGUUAUUUUUUUUCCUUCUAUGUAAAAUGUCCUAAAGUUCUAAUAAAAAUAAAAGAUUUUUUUAAUCCAUUUUUAUUAAUUUCCCAAAGAAGAACCUCAAAAGAAAAUCUUUUUGGAUUUUUGGAAUUAAUAUCUUAAACGAAAACUUUUAAAAAGGCACUAAAAGAAAAUUCUCUUUUUUUUUGUGAAUUUUUAGUCUUAAUAUACUAAAUAAAAUAUAAAAGCAAUUUAAAACCACGUCAAAAGAUUUUUUUUUCAUUUCUAGCAUUGGUAUUCUAAAGAAGACUUCUAACAGAAAUAUAAAAAGCAAAAUCUCUUUUUUUAGAUUUUUUGAGUUACAACACACUUUGUCAAAUAUAAAGUAUAAAGUACAAUAACAAAAGACUCGACAUUACUAUACAAAACUAGAAGAAAAAAAAGACGACAUAAAAAAGAACAACAGACUUAAAGCAUAAAAAAGAAAAAAAAAAUCUCCUUUUAAUCCACUCCUAGAUGAGGGAUCCUGACUAGAUGGUCCUGGGGCUCUGUCAUGCUCAAACUCUGAUAAGUAGAUCCACGCCUAUAUGAGAAAACUGAAACAAACCCUAUGUAAGACAACAACAUUCCCUACUAGACACAUGCAAGACAUGGUUAAACUAUUUUUCUAAAAUUAACCUAUGUGGUUAAAAAUGCAAGAUUUGGCCAAGACCCCGCGAAGCCAAGAACCUAAACUCACUAGGAAGACCGGACCCUAUAUGGGUUGCCUACGUAUCACGCUCCAAAAGACGAGAAUCAAGUAUGCGUAGUUCGGCCAAAUUGAUACGGGUGAGAGUUGAAAAAAAAACAACUAAUUUAGAGAUAAAAAUAUAUUUUUGCUUUUUUUUUUUGAAAAAUGAAGAAACAUGUAAACUCUUUUUAGAUUUUUUCCUUUUUUUUUGAUUUUCUGACUUUCGGAAAAUGAUGAAAAAGUGCAAAAUCUUUUUUUUUUGAAUUUUUCAUUUUUUGUCUUUUCUUAACAAAAAUGUAAAAGAAAAUAUAACUGGGCCCUACUUGCUUUAUUUUUCACACUUCUCUCUUUUUUUUCUUUUUUUCUUUUUCAUUUUCCCUCAACUAUCAUUGGUCUGCCAAAUGACCCUUUUACCCUUGAAGAAAUGCAACAUGUAGCACGUAGGAAGCAUUAAGAUGGUCUGUUAUUUUGGGUACACCUGUCCUAGACGGAUCCAACCCUUGUGUUGAGUCCCCAAAGUCAAAUGUACGUAAUGUAAAAAACGUUCCUACUAGGGAUCCGGCAUGAGUCUAUGUUAUUCUAGGUUUAAAAACCUGGUUUAUUUGUUCUAGACCCGGCUUACCCGAGCGGACAACUCGAGCUAGGGGAAGGAGAGGGGCAGCGUACCGGGAAUACAAAAGCUUCACCGGCUUUGCAGCUUGUCCGAACCUCGUUCUAAAAUUGGAAUAUGACUCUAAUAGAAGAGAAGUCACACGAAGUGCAUACUUCCCAGAUGAUUUAGAAGACUCAGAGAGAGGAGACUUUCAUAUCAAUUUAUAUACAGUUCAGCAAUAUCAAAGCGGUCAAAAAGCGGCAAUUAGCACAUUAGGCCCAAAUAGGUAAAUAAAACCAGAUAAUAAAUAAGCCAAAUAUAACAAUUAUUCUAAGCUUGAAUUCUUGAACCCUGAACCAGAGGUUCUGGGUUCUCGUCCCUAGCAGAGUCGCCAGAGCUGUCAUACCUCCUUUUUCUACCCCGGAAAGGGAUAUAAGGGAGUUUUUUCCAAUUAAAGCGACANNNNNNNNNNNNNNNNNNNNNNNNNCGGGUAAGGAAUUCUAUUAACCCGGGAGAAGGUGUUAGGCAUUCCCGGGUUCCGUGGUUCUAGCACGGUCGCUCAAUUAUUAUUUUUUGGCUCAAUUAUUUGAUUUUAAAACACCUUUAAACCUAUGUGCAUUUUAACUAUAAAACCGCUUUUAUUUAUUUAAAGAAUUGAUUCAAGGUUAUUUAAAACACAUCGCAAGCCAUGCUACGUGAAAUGCACCCGUGGUUCACGACACGUUCUAUUUAACCUUGUUAGAAAUUAAGACCGGAUCACAUAAAAUGCACCCCCGGAUUUUGGUGGUUAAGCGUCACAACUACGUCACAGGAACCGUACCCGUAGCUAUGAAAAUUAUUUAACUAACGCGCCUAAAGCAAACUACAAGAGUUCAGGGCAUAAUAGAUCAUUCAUCCUUGAAUGCCUUGGUCAUAUUCUAAUAUUUAACAAAAGGCCCUACGUUACUGCUUGAAAUUAAACAAAGCCUUCCAAAGCUUAUUCCAGUGGCCCAACAUUUAAUCCAAAGUCCACUCUUAAAUGACUACCACAAUAACCUAAAUACUACAAAAAUUCAGUCCAAAUUUCAACUAUCAAAUCUCAUGGCCCAAUUACUUUGGUAAUCUAACCUAAAAUAUCGAACCUCACUUCUUGUUUCUGCUCAUAUAAUUCAAACAUUAAUAAUCAAACAAUGUACUAGAAACAUAGUCACCAAAUUCAUAUUAUCUAAAAUCAAGCAUGAGAUGGAAAGAAAUAAGUGAAAUAGGACAAGAGUCGGACCUCAAACUGGGCAGAAACAACUUUAAAAACUCAAUUAAGCAUGAAAUCCCAAACCAGGAACUUUACAGCAUAAGGUCGUGGACACAAAAACUCGAAUCACAGCUUGAAAUUAAUAGUAAGCCUCCUGCCGGAACUCCGAAUGGCAACCUCAUUUUGAUGGUGUUUCACGACAGCAUCUCGAUGGUGGAGCACAACGGAAUUUUUGAUAGAGUUUUGGAUGGCAUAAAGUGGUGGGUUUCAAUGAGUGAAUCAGUUAUAGAGAGGCAGUGAGGUGAAGGUUUAACAUAGUUUCAUGGCCGCUAUAGACUGGUAGCGUUUGGGGGUGGGGUGGGGGGGGGGUUCUCUUGUGUGUUAUGGCUGAGCAACUUCAAGGAUGAUCACUGGUUACUCUUCAUUUUCCGGCAAGAUCGACGGUUGCUGCUGAUAAUUUUCAGCGAGCCCCAGUGGCGUGAGGGUGGCUGCUCAUUUGGUGGUCUUUUCAGCUCGUUUUCCGGCGAUCUUGUCACUGUUUCUACUAGAUUUCCGGCCAGUUAUGGUAGCGACAGAUGUGAGAGGGUGGAAUGGUAGCAGUGUGUGCAUGUGUUAGUGCUGUGUCGCUGGGCUGCUAUGGAGGAGUUCCUUUUUAGAUUGUGUGUUUUGAAGAAGAAGAUAACCUAGGGUUUUUGUCUAAGUUUUUCCAUGAAGAAGAAAAGAAAGCUGAUGGGGUCUAUUUUUUGAGCUAUACGGCUGAUUUCUUUUGUUAGUUCCUUUAGGUUUUUUGUUUUGAGAAGAUGAAGAGCUUAGGUCCUUGGGUUUUUUCUUUUGUUGUCUCCAUAAUAAAAACGACUGUUGUGCUAAGUGUAGUCUCUAGGGUCUUUUUAUUUAUUUUGUCAAGAAGAGUCUAGAAGGUCUUCUAGGGUUAGCUUAAUGGGUAAUGAGUAUUGGGCUUGAGAUUAUGUGCUAAGAGAUUGGUUUAAUUGGGCUACAAACAAAACUAAAUUAGUCCAAAAAAUUAAUUCUAUUCCCUCCUCCUUUUUUUUAUGUAUGUAAAAAUAAUAUAGCAAACAAGAUAAACUAUUAAAAAUACUACUAAAUCUCACUUAAGAAGAUAACUAUUAAAAUAACACUAACCGUUUAAAAACAAACCUAUUUUUGGUAUUUUUCACGAUUAAAAAUGACUACAAAACAUUAAUGAUUUUUUUUUUUGUAAUUUUCAUUUUCUUGUAAUAAAAUAAAGUAAAAGAGUCAAAAUUAGUUGAAAUAAAGAUAUUAGGCCUAAACUAAAUAUUUACAUGCUAAAAUAUAAAAAAUCUUGUGGAGGGUCAAAAAUCACAUGUAUACACCCGUGAUGUCAUGUUGACCCAAUACACAGCCAAAAGAAUUAUCAAAGACUGUCAAAUAGAGAAUUAAAGGUCUCCCAGGCUCUGGUGGGACCAACACAGGAGGGUUUGACAGGUACCUCUUAAUCUUAUCAAAUGCUUCUUGACACUCAUCAGUCCACUUGACUGCAACACUCUUCUUCAACAGCUUAAAGAUGGGUUUACAGGUUGUCGUGAGCUGAGCAAUAAACCUGCUAAUGUAAUUUAACAUUCCAAGCAGGCUCAUCACCUUUGUUUUGUUCUUGGGCGGUGGUAGCUCUUGAAUGGCUUUGAUCUUUGACGGAUCCAACUCAAUACCACGUCGAUUGACCACGAAUCCCAGCAAUUUCCCAGACGGGACACCAAAUACACAUUUUGCUGGAUUGAGCUUUAGGUUAUACCUACGGAGUUUUUGGAAAAACUUCCUUAAAUCCUUGACAUGGUCAGACUGCUUCUUUGACUUAAUGAUCACAUCAUCUACAUAAACCUCAAUCUCCUUGUAUAUCAUGUCAUGAAAUAUGGUGGUCAUCGCCCUCAUGUAAGUUGCCCCAGCGUUCUUCAAAUCAAAUGGCAUUACCCGGUAGCAGUAUGUUCCUUAUGAUGUGAUGAACGCUAUCUUUUCUGCAUCUUCCUCAUCCAUCAAGAUCUGGUGAUAUCCCGCGUAUCAAUCCACAAAAGACCCAAUCUCAUGCUUGGCACAAUUAUCGAUCAGAAUGUGAAUGUUCGGCAAACGGAAAUCAUCCAUUGGGCUUGCUUAUUUAUGAUCACAAUAAUCAACCAUACCCUGGUCUUACCAUCCUUCUUUGGUACUGGCACCACAUUAGCUAACCAAGUGGGAAUUCGAGUGACCCGAAUGACCUUUGCAUUAAGCUGCUUUGUGAUUUCUUCUUUGAUCUUCACACUCAUGUCAGUCUUGAACUUUUAUAACUUUUGCUUGACAGGAGGGAAUGAUGGAUCGGUUGGAAAUUUAUGAACUACCAGAUCAGUGCUCAGGCCCGACAUAUCUUCAUAUGACCAUGCAAAGACAUCUUUGUACUCAAACAAUAUUUUGAUGAUUUCCUCCUUAACUUGCGGUUCUAGAUGCACACUUAUCUUGGUUUCCCUAACAUUAUCCCGGUCCCCUAAAUUGAUUGCUUCAGUUUUGCUCAAAUUAGGCUUUGGUUUUCCUUCAAAUUGUUUUAGCUCUUUACUGAUUUCCUCAAAUGCUACUUCUUCAUCAUAUUCUGUUUCAUCAUCAUACUCUACUUCUUCGAUUAUUAUUUCAGAAUUAGAUUGGCUUUUAAGAUUUGUCUGAAAAUUCCUCAUGCAUGUCAUGUCAUUACAACUAACAUAAAAAGAACUGUACAAAAGAAAAACAAAACAAAACAUUAUUAGAAAUAAUGGAAGACGGGAAAUUGCAUUUCACUGAAAAUAAAAGUAUAGAAGGGUUUGAACAUCAAAACAAGCAAAAACUAAAAAUAUGGAUUACAACCGUAGAAUAACCCAGAUAACAGAAAGGAAAACAAAGCAAACUACCAAAACUCCUUCCUGGUGGGGAGAGGAGUAGCUUCCCAAUUGCUAAGCUUCACAUUUGGCCCAACGAGCUGCACAUCUGCUUUACUAGAACCUUCACCAACUUCUACCAUAUUGACCUCAUCGAAGACUCUGGAACCUCUUGAGCAACUCUUAAUCAACAUCGACCACAGGUUUUGGGAUUGAUGAGGUUGGAGGUUUUUCGGCCCCUAACUUGACAAAAGACUUAGAGAUGUGUGGGACAGGCUUGAGAAGUGACCAUACCUUCUGUUUCAGGUUUUUAACCCUUUCCACGUCCUUUUCUAUGGGCAUGAAUCCCAAACCAAAUGUACCAGGAUUUCCAUUGGGGUGCAGUGGAUGCACAAUACCCUGCAGAGAUGAGCCCAGACCUUUGCCCGGCACAAAACCAUUCUUUAACAUUUCAUUCGCUACCAUGACAGACGCGGAGGAUAACUUAGGACCCGGAAUCCAUUUUCCUUCAGGAAUCUUCUCAACAGACACUGUUUCGAAAGUUUGAUAGACCCAAGGUCCCUUAUCUUCUUCAGCUUCAAUAAACAGAACAAUUGUGUCAUUACAAGCUGACAAGUCCUCAUCACCGUGCACAACUAUUUCCUACCUGUCCUAUUCGAACUUCACCAUUUGGUGGAGAGAAGACGGUACUGCCUUAGCAGCAUGUAUCCAUGGCCUGCCUAACAAUAGAUUGUAGGAGACAACCACAUCUAACACUUGGAAUUCCAUGGUGAGCUCAACUGGCCCUAUCGACAAUUCAAGCAUUAUAUCUCCAACAGAAUCUUUACCUCCCCCAUCAAAGCCUCGAACACACAUACUAUUCAUGUGGAUUCUUUCGGUGCCGAUCUUCUUUUGCAGAGUAGACAGGGGACAAAUAUUUGCAGUAGAUCCAUUGUCAACCAAAACCCUUAAGACAACAGAAUCUUCGUACUUCACCAUGAGAUAAAGAGCUCGGUUGUGUUCUGUACCCUCCAUAGGAAGUUCAUCAUCUGAGAAAGUGAUCCUAUUUACGUCAAAGAUCUUGCUAGCUAUAUUUUCCAAGUGGUUCACUGUGAUUUUGUCAGGAACAUGUGCCUCAUUCAAAAUCUUCAUCAGGACCCUGCGAUGUUCAUCUGAAUGUAUCAGCAAAGACAAAAGAGAAAUCUGAGCUGGUGUUUUCCUUAACUGCUCCACAAUGGAAUAAUCCUGUACUUUCAUCUUUUUUAGGAACUCCUCAGCCUCUUCUUUUGGUGAACGGUCUCUUUACUGGCAUUUGGCUAUCCUUGAAUGGCUUGGCUUUCCUUAAUUCUUCUGGGGUGAAACAUCUCCCAAAAUGAGUUAAUCCUCCAGUUUCAUUAACUUCUUCCUCUAUUUCUUUUCCUUUAUAUGUCACUAUCACUUGUUUGUAAUUCCACGGAAUAGCCUUGGCAUCAACCACUGGCAGAUGGGUCACUGGUUUAAUGAUGAUAGGGGUAAUAAGAGCCCCCUUCAUAACUAUGACAAGCUUACUUGGAAUCCCUGGCACUACCAGUUUUGAACCUUUCGGACUUGCCCCAAUAUCUUUCGAAGGCCCUUUCACGACCAACACUGGUGGCUUCAAAUUGAGCGAGCUUAGCUUUUCUGUCGCCCCUUCAACUGUCAAGGGCGUUGCUUUGGUAAAGUCUGGAGCUUUAACCAAAUUACUUUCACUAGCCCGAAUCAUCAUGACAGACUUAGAAGAUUUCUUGGGCUCCUCAUCCUUGUGAACUACUUCAAUCAUAUGCGUCUCUGCAUGGGAUGGCAAAGGGUUUUGGUUUAUGUUCGGCGUGUAAGGGCUUUGGAAUACAAUUUAGUUUGUAUCAAUGAGCUCCUGGAUUGCCCUUUUCAAAUGCCAGCACUUCUCUAUGUCAUGCCCUAGAGCAUCAGAACAAUAGGCGCAUCUUAGGGAAUAAUCGAGGUUCUUUGGAGGGGGAUUUGAUAUCUUUGACUCAAUCAGCCUCAAGACGUCCAACUGCCUUAACCUUUGAAACAGACUAGCAUAGGACUCUCCAAGCGGGGUAAAAGUUUGUUUUCGCUACUGCGUCUCUCUUCUAUAUUCUGGCCUUGGUCGAAAAUUUGAACCAUGGGGGUUUUGGUAGGGUUGUGUAGGUGAAUAGGUAUUUUAUGGAGUUGGAGCAUGCCAUUGCAGGUAAUGAGGGGGUUGCGCAUAUGACUGUGCAUGGUGAACAUGGUAUUGGGGUGGUCUAGCUGAGUAUUGGGGGUUUUACGGGGAAAGUAAUAUUGGGGUGGAUUAUAUGGAGCUUGGGUGUAGGUUUGAGGUCGGGGUCGAGGAUGGGGGUAUUGAUGAGGUGAACCCCGCUGGCCAUGCCAUGGUCCAGAGACAACCAUGGCGACAUCGUCCAUCUUUUUCUUGCCUAGCAAACUUCCGGUACCACUCUAGAUUGCCUGGGUGGUUGCUUUUAUAGCAGAGUAGCUCAUGAUAUUGCUCGACUUGAGCCCUUCUUCCACUAUUUCUCCCAUAUUUACCACAUCAUUGAAAGACUUACCAAUGGCAGAAAUCAAAUGGCCAUAGUAAGUAGGCUCCAGGGCUUGAAGAAAGUAUCCAACCAUCUCGUCUUCUUCCAUCGGAGGAUUGACUCGUGCAACUUGCUCCCUCCAUAGGAACCCAUAUUCUCUAAAGCUUUCACUGGGCCUCUUUUCCACCUUGGUCAAAGAUAGGUGGUCUAGGACAAUGUCUAUAUUGUACUGAAAGUGCCGGACGAAGGCUUGAGCCAUAUUGUCCCAUGUGUACCACCUGUUGGCAUCCUGGGGGUGUACCAUUCUAAAGCUGCCCCACUCAGACUUUGGCUGAAGUAUGCCAUCAGUAAUUCGUCUUUCCCCCGGCGCCUCUCAUUUUACUGCAAUAACCCCUCAGAUGAGCUACAGGAUCCCCAUGUCCGUCAUACAAGUCAAACUUGGGCAUCUUGAACCCGGCGGGCAGUUGGACAUCGGGGAACAAACACAAAUCCUUAUAGGCCACACUCACCUGGUUUCCCAACUUUUGCAUAUUUCUCAAUGAUUGCUCCAUACUCUUUACCUUCCUGAACAUCUCCUCUUGCUCUGCAUUCUUGGGUGGUUUAUCAGUUUCAACAUGAGGCUCAAAGUGGGGAGUGUAGGAGUAAAGAUCUGGGACUUUGAAUGUGGGUUCCGAGGCAUAAUAUUGGGUAUCUGGAGCUGGGAAUACGGGCUCACUAGAGGAUCGGUGGAGGAUAGCUUGUGGAGGGGUACAAAAAUAGGAGCAGAUGUCGGAGCAGGGUACGAGGUUGUUUUGGCUGGUGGAGCAUGAAAAGUUUGGGCCGAAGUGCCAAGGUAGUUGUGGUAUGGGGUAAAUCCUGGUGUGUGUUGUGGGGAAAGAUCAAUGGUAUUAGGCAUCUGGGAUUAGGAGAGUGGUGGAAUGGAGGCAGGGUUUUCUAUGUAGUUGGUAGGGAACGAGGGUGGAGGGUGUCCCUUAAUACAGGCCUGAUACAUUUCCGUCAUUUGAUGCUUCAACCUUCGGACCUCCUCUUGCAGUUCCGAUUUUGACUCAACAAUCUCCCUUGGUGGGUCUACAACUCCAGUGUCUGUUUCAAUGCUAGCCAUGACUAUUUGGCGCUUUGACCUGGUGUUGUAUGGAUGACUUGCCAGGAUGCCCACAAAUUAACCACCUUCCUGAUGUUAAAUAAAAAUAACAGAGCAAAACAACACAAAACCAUCAUGUUAGCGUUAGGGCAUUUAUCAUAUGAUAAUAUCACGUUGUGUGCAAUGCACUUAGCAACAAUUAGCGGUUCUAAAAUGGAUUUGAGGGUCGCAGUGUCAUAUGGCAUCAUCCCAAUUUGUUCAUUUCAAUCCUCACUUCUCUUUCUCUUCUAGCACCUCUUAUCAUUUUCUUCCCACUCUUUCUCUCUUCUUUUUUUUUCACUCUUUUCUUUUCUUUUCUCUUAGUUUUAAAAAAAAUAAUUUGAUUGAACCCGAUGUAGGUUGAGUACGUAUCAUGUCCCUUAUGAAUCAGACUAAGCGUAGUUCUGGAAAAGUGAUGGAAAAUAAACUAAAAAUAAAAUCUUUUUUGGAUUUUUCAUUUAAAAACUUUUCGAUAUUAAAAUACAAUGGGAAUUACGAUAAUGAAAGACCCGACAUACUAAACUACACUACGACAGACUCUGACACUACCUAAAGAACUCAGUACCUCUAGACAAGAUACGAAAGUAAAAGACAACAUAAGACAAUCUCAAAACACCUAAAUAGAAUGACUCCUCAAGCUGCUCCUAAAUGCGACGGUCCUGGCUGGGAUGGGUCUGAUGAAAAUCCAGAUGGCCCUGUCAAUCCGGUCAAAUCUAAGCUCUAUAUUAUACCCUGCAAGGACACCUCAAAGCUGGGAAUGAGAAUCCUGGAAUGCGCGCCUGCAUCUAGAAGGUUGACUCUAGUAAGGUACUCACGGUGUUGUCCCAUGUUCUCUACCAAACCUGCCAACUGUGAUCUCAAUGACUGAAAUGUAGCUUGGACCCCGACUCUCUCUGCUGCGUGGGCCUCCUCUGCUUGAGUAAAUUGAUCCAUCAAUUCUCUAAGUAAUAUCCGUGAGGUGGACUCCUCGUCAAAUACUACUCUAGCACGUCGGGGCAAUGGCCUGCUAACCCCUACUGAGUAGACUAUAGCCAUAUGAAGUACUCAUAGGUAUACCCAGGUGAAUGCGGGUCAGCUGCUAAAGUAUAUCUACCCAUCUUCAUUGCAUGUUGCCAAUAGGUCUGGAUGUCGACCUCCCUGUGAGUCAUAGUGUCAAACUCCCUAAUGAAGUUACGAGAAUCAUGAAUGCAUGGGACUUCUUGUCGUCUCCCUAACUGACGCAUCACUCUAGCAGGGGUAUAUAGUUGAGUACACCAAAGUCCAAUUAGUACCAAGAAGUCUUGCACGCGAGAUCCUGCUAAGAUCACGUCCAAGUCAAUCCAAAGAUAUGACCACAAAAUCUUCUCUUCAGUCAAGGAUCCUAAGUAAUCAACCCAAGCCUAAACUGCGAGUGGUAAGGCAAACUUAUCGAACGCCAUUCUAUGCUCGAUGCGCUUCACUCGAUCUCUAAGACAACAGUCAAUCACAUCUUUCUCAAACAUGGUGGUGGGAUGUAAGUGUUCAAUCAUCCACAGCUGCACCAACAAGUUGCUUCCCUCAAUGAACCUCUCACCUUCUCGAAUCCUAGUCAAAACACGAUAAAUUUCUGCCAAAAUUGUCGGAACCAAGGUGACCUUACUACUGUGUUUAUCAUGGAAAAGUGCAAAGGCUGUUGACCCCAUGCGCGUGCUAAUAUGUCUAACCUACAAAGGAAAUACCAAUAGACCCAACAAUGCAAUAGCGAAGACCAUAGGACGCAUCUUCUUCCAAGAGUCAUAUGAUAUGGAAAAUUCAUCUACGAAAGUCUCAUACCCAGUAGGACGAGCAAACCUCUCGAAUAAAAAGUCCAAAGGUACCCAAGAUUGAUCUAGACAUCCCAUGUGGUUUCCAAAUCCAUCCCUAUGAUCUUAAGGAACUUUGUGCUUGAAUGAACCCUUGUGUAAAUCAAAUCCUUGUCUAGGUAUGGCAAGCGAGUUAAUCCGGCUAUCUCAGCUAAGGUGGGUGUCAUCUUAAGAUCCCCAAACUUAAAUACCAUCCCCUGUGGGUCCCAAAAUAUCAACAUUUCUUCUACAAGAUCGGGAUGGGGGGUGAUGUCCAUCAAUGAAAUAAGAGUCCCUAAUUUACCCAUCAGAUCAUGCUGCUCAAGUAAUGUGAACAUGUUCCACCAUUGACACUCUAGCCUUGGUAAGUGGAUCCAUACCUGUUGAAAGGAAUAGGGCUAAAUAAAGUUAGUGACUCAAGACACUGUGUGGUGUUGAUAUCUCCUAUUGGACACACGCAAGACAUGAUUGGGGUUAUUGUUGCAAAAAUGACCUAUGUGGCCAAAUGAGUCUAAAAAUGCAAUACUCAAUUAGGAUGACCUCUACGACAUGGAAACAUCUCACGAAGACCUAUACAUCCCUCAACCUCUUUAGGAAUCCGGUCUCCAAAACUACACUGCGGUAAUGACCUCACUUUGCAAAAAUGGCCGAUUUGGUCAAGAGUGGCUAGACACACUAAUGCGGUGGGGAUGGACCUUGAAAUAAUAUGACAUCUAGUUGUGGACUCAAGAUUCUAAAACAUGGGUCAUUGAGGUACCUUUGCAAAAAAUGUCCCCAUUUUGCAGGAACGAUCGAUGUAGCCAAAGGUGGCUAGACAUGCAAGAUUUGGCUACGACCCCGCAAAUCCAAGAACCUAAGACUCACUAGGAAGGCUGGACCCUACAUGGGUUGCCUACGUAUCCUGCCCCGAAAGGCGAGAAUCAGGUAUGCGUAGUUCGGGAAGAUCAGACAUGUGAGAAAGCUUUUAAAAAAUGCAACUAAUUUGGAAAAACUAUUUUUUUAUCUUUUUGAAAAAUGAUGGAAAAUGUAAAAUCUUUUUGAAUUUUCUGUUUCUCUUUUUUUUUUUGGAAAACUAUGAAAAAAAAUGUGAGUGGGCCCUACUUGCUACAUUUAUAUAUUUCGCCCUCAAAUACCCUUGGUCCGCCAAAUGACCCUUUUACCCCUAAAGAGAUGCAACAUGUAGCACAUAGGGAUGAUUAAAUGUCUUUUUGGUUCAUAAGCCCAUUUUGACAUAAUUUGGAUAGGCCUCCUACAACGGGACACGGUGCCUGGGACUGAACCCUGCUAGGUUUAAAUGAUAUGAUGCACAUAAGCAUGACCUAAAGGCUGAUCUAUGGUUGGGGUUCACUAGACAAGGCAAUUUGGGGCAGCACGUGAUCGAUGUCGGCUGCUCUAGCUGUCCGCGCACUCCACGCUCCCAAGCCACCCUCCUAAAGACACGGGUGACUCACAAAAAGGUCGUGUACGCUCAAAUGUACUCUGGAAGACGUGUUGCAGAAAGAAGACCCGGGGUUAUGCAAAUGAUGACAAUUUAUAAAGCAGUAACACAUAAAGAAAAUAUUGUAAACAAAUAAGCAACUAGCAAAUAAAAUGACAUAAACAAAACAAAAAUCAAAUAAAGCAAACAAAACACAUAAGAACCUCAACCGAAUAUACUAAAAAGCCAACAAGAUCAAGUACUAGCUCGAACAUGCUAAGUACAUAGGGUUUCUCCAGCAGAGUCGCCAGAGCUGCCACACCCUUUUUUUAACUUCACUAACCUUUUUAAAAUAAUAAAAGAGAUUUGUAAAGCUCAAUAGGGUUUUCAAUUAAAAAGUGACAAAAUUAUGUUAAAAAAGAAAUAACGCAGAGUCGCCACCUGACAUUGGUUUCGGUGUGCCAAGUCACCGUUUGUUUAAAAUGAUUUUCCUUUUAAAAUACUUUGGACUCCAAACUAAGUCUGCACCAAAGAUUCGGGUAAGGAGGUUUAUUUGACUUGGGGAGAAUGUGUUAGGAAUUCCCGAAGUCCCGUGAAGGUCACGGUUGCGUACUCGAUCAAGUUAGCUAUCAAAACACUCAAAUUGAGGUAGAAAUAAACACAAAAAAACACACAAGAAGCUCGAGGUCGUCCACCUAAUAAAACAAAACAAAAUAAAAGUAAAAUAAAAUAUUAUUCUAUGCUUCCUCAAACCGCUCCGUCUUCGUCCUUCAUUUACAUUCACUUCGGGCAUACCCAGAUAAAAUAUAUACAAAGUCUUCGUGGUAUUCCUCGUAUAAAUUUAACUAAAGGAUCGACCUCUCGCCUCUAAAGAAGCUAAAAGACGAGACCUAAAUUCGCCUACCCAAGUGUCGUCGCCCUAAACAUGCACACGACAUAUGAACAUUUAAGUACUUUAAAGGGAUAAAACAUGAAUGACUCUAGAAUACUUAGUAAAAUAAAAGACAGGUGAAUCAAAGCUAUUAAGGAGGAACCAACUAAAGAUUUUCCUAUCAUCCAAUUUCUGAUAAAUUAAUUACGCGAACCUUCAGUUUGCCUUCUUCCUUUUUAUUUUUUAUAUUCCAACAUUUAUCAAACUAUACCAAUAAAACACUAAGGUGAUCUACUUACCUAAUGAUACAUUAUACUAAAUAAUAUCAUCAAAUAAUUUACUAAGAUUGUGUGAUUGUAACAGAAUACUCUAGUAGAAUAAUGAUAUUUAAAUCAUAAAACACUAACUUGCAAACCUCUUUAAAAUAUAUACUCUUAAAUGCUUACCACUCAUCUAAAAAUAACUAUGACAUUGAAAAUUAAUUGUAACUAGCCAACCAUCUUUAUAUCACUUUAAUUCUCUAAAGCCUUAUUUAUUAGAAAAUUAGUCACAGAUUAAACCAAAAGGAAUUCCAGAAACCAACUCAAUCUCAAAAAUACCAAAAGAUGUGACUAAAAGCAGGAUUAUGAGCCUCAUUUUACCUAUUUAUUAUGAGGAAUAAGCUAUUCUAAUGUUAAAAGAAAGAACUAAAAUAAUAACCAUAAGCAUCUUGUUCAAUUUUAAAACAAUUUCCCUAGACAAUUUUCCGCACAUUCCAUGUUUGGGACCAGAAUCACUAAGGAAAGCAAAGACCAGAACCAUAAGUUAGGAUAGGUUUUAACAAGAAUCGAUAACAAAAAUGCAAAGUUAAUCUCCCUAAAUGGCCCUUUCAAUGCUUGAUUCACCAUAAAACAACGAGCAAAUAGAAUAAGAAAAGAGAUGAACCUGAAUGAGGUUUCAAUUAAUUGCUGAAGAUUGCAAUUACAAGCGAAACUAAUGUCAAAAUUGUUGAAGCGAGAAAUACCAAUAAACUUCAAACCGAAACCGCUGGAUUUAAACCCUGAAUGGCAGCCAACAACGGUGACGAGCUUGAAAGCACUCCUCCUCAAUCAAAUUCCAUCCUUAAAAUUAAAUCUCGGAAUCAAAGGAAGACACAGGAAUGUAUUUUCGUUUUUUUGUUUUUUUUUCUUCUGAAAUCUAAAAUAAAGAAAAACUUGAAAAUCCGAAAAUGAAUCUCAAAGAAAGAACCCUGGCUUUUCCUCUCUCUCAAACUAAUUUUCUUCUUGAACCCCCCUCCUUCUGUCCAAAAACCUCCAAAUAUAUACCUCACUCUCGAAUUUUCUUCUUCUUUACCAAGAAAACGCGUGGGACCACAAACCAAAUCCGAAAAUCCCUACAAUAGACGAGAUAAGACAAAUGGAUGGAGUAAAUAUAGUGUAACUCGAUCCUACGCACCCCAUUUUUCUAUUCUCGCCUGAAAGAGACAAAUUAAGAAAAAGAAAAAUGAAGAGAAAAAUACGUGAAAAUGAUAAAGCUUGGUACGGAAUGUGUGACGUGGAAGAAGGAGAAAAGAGAAGGGGGGACCAUGAGUGAGAUUGGGGUGGAGUUAUAGUGGGUUUGGGUGUUGUUUAGCAGCAGUGAAGCUUAGAGAUUGGUGGGGGGCGCCGCUGGUGGGAUCUCUUUAGGUUUAGGGUUGUGACAAAAAAAAUCUUUCUAAGGGGUAGGGAAGAAACAGGGGUCAUUGGAUUUAACUAGAUCAAGGGCUGGGAUUAAUCUAAGAGGGCUAAUGGGUUAUGGGCUAGAAGGAAAUGGGUCAGGCAAGUUGGUCUAAGGGGUGUUGGAAUUGAGCGGAAGAUUUGGAUUAGGCUUUAUGAAAUUCUUGUUGAACAAAAAACAAAAAACAAAAUGAAAAAAAUGAAAAUCCUACAAACAUAUUAAUUAAUCUUAGUUAAUUAAAUAAACUAUUAAAAAUAUUUUUAUUUUUUAUUUUUUUAUACUUUCAAAUAUUAUAUUAAAAUAAAAGUUAGAAAGAGUAGAUUAAAAGUCAUGGUAAAGCUAAAUUAAUAUCACUAUAGAAGUGUUGAUGAUCUUAUACUAAAAUGAAAAAUGUAAUAAGAUGAGAAAUAAUAUAAAUAAAACUAUCCUUGUAUUUUUGACUUUAUAUUCUAAAAUUUAAAAUAAGAGUAGAUUAGAAUCUAAUUAGAAUAAUUCAAGUGAAUAUAUGAAAAUACUAAAGAUACUAAACUAACUUUAAAAGUGCGCGAGUCAAAAAUUACGUGCUUACAGGUUUAGACGCCAAAAAGUUCAUACAAAAAUCAUUCUCCCUGAGUGCGAUUCCAAUGCACAUUCCCAAGAAGUUUCGCAUGCCCGAUAUACCCAAAUAUAUCAACACCCUAACGAGCAUAUUACUUCAUACACUUGCGGAAUCAAAGAGAAUAAUUUGAAUGACAAUGAGAUCGAAUCGGUGUUGUUGAAAAAGUUUGGAGAAAUGCUGUCGAAAGGCUCUAUGAUUUGGUACCACAACUUAGCCCCUAACUCUAUUGAUUCGUUUGCUAUGUUAGCGGAUGCCUUUGUGAAAGCGCACACCGGGGCCAUAAAGGUAUCCACGAGAAAAUCGGACGUCUUCAAGAUAAAAUAGAGGAAUGACGAAAUGUUAAGGAAUUCAUAUGUAGGUUCCAGAUGGAGCGAAUGGAGUUACCACCAGUCUCGGAUGACUGGGCAGUACAAGCCUUCAUGCAGAGUUUGAAUGAAAUGAGCUCGAUUGCAUCUCGACAAUUAAAGCAGAACUUGAUCGACUAUCCAGCUGUGACUUGGUCGGAUGUGCACAAUCAUUACCAGUCAAAAAUCAGGGUCGGGGAUGACCAGUUAGGAGCCCCCUCGGGUUUAGUUCAUCCUAACAGAUUCGCAACCAAGCCCCCAAGGGACACAGAUCGGAAAUCAAGAUUCAAUAAAGAACGGUAUCAGCCAUAUGCCAAUCGAAGGAAUAGUGGCCCAAGCCGUAACACUUCUCGGAGCAAUCGGAGAAACGAUCAAGGUCAAAGUUCUCGGGGACUCAUGAGUAAGGGCAUGUUCGAUAAACAUAUCGGCCCUGCAGAGGCUCCUCGAUUAUCAAAGUACAACUUCAGCGUAGAUGCAUCAAGGAUAGUCUCAGCUAUUAGGAGAAUCAAAGACACCAGGUGGCCCAAGCCAAUACAGACUGAUCCUUCUCAAAGAAACCCGAACUUGAUGUGCAAGUAUCAUGGCACACAUGGUCAUAGAACAGAUGACUACAGGCAGCUAAGGGAAGAAGUGGCUCGGUUGUUCAAUAAAUGUAAUCCACAUGAUCAUUGACGGAGUCGAUGUCCCUCAAUGACUUGUGUUCAAGCACACCUAUAUACAGAUAAAAUCGGAGAGCCCAAUUUUACGAUCAUUAUGUCUUUUCGUAGCUUUACCUCGAAGGCCCGGGGGUACGGUUUGAGGUUAUGACCUCGAGGGUUCUUUAUGCCCGGCCUUAGGGCAGCUUAAGCCGAUGGUUAUCAUGGACAAAUGGAAAGUUCCCUAGGCACGUGGUCAAAGCUAACAACACCUGCAAGAAUAGCACCAACUUGUACCAGACUGCUAAGUAGCUCUACCAGCUAUAUUUCUUUGUAAUAAAUGCACAUGUACUAUGUUGGGAUUUUCCCUCCUAUAUAAAGGGGACCCUUAUUAUUUUUUGCACACAUGACAUAAUAUCAGAUACUUGAUACACCAUUCAAUACAAGAACAUUCUCUACUGUCUAACACAUUCUCUCUUGACUCUAUUAUUUACAUUUAUUGCGUUCCAUUGAUUGUUCUUUCAUUUAUUGCUCAUUAUUGAUCAUAAAGAGCCUUCAUCAAAGCUCUCAAAACUGUUAGUCCUUCAUCGACUGUCCACAACUUAGCACCUAGCUCGGGCUUGAGGUCCUGUAUAGCUCGGCUCGAGGCCCCGAUACUCAACCACUCGGUUUGCCUAAAUAUACCGCUUUCAAGUUCUUAUCUCAUUUUCUAGUCUCACACGUAGCAUCUACUGCCUAACAACUAGCAUAAAAAUAAAUCACAUAUUUUUAGAACCACAAAAUCAAAUUUAAUUAUAAUUACCAUUUUCAAGGUUAACAGUUUGGCGCCCACCGUGGAGCUAAAAAUAAUAGUGAUUGUUUUCUUAUUGUUUUACUAUAUAACGCAAGUUAUCUUUCAUGGUUUUUCUUGACCAAGAAUCUUUGAUUUCAGGUCAAAAUAUCUAACUUAGUAAACGCACAUGAAAACAACGGUCUUGAGGACCAUGGAGAGAAUGGUGUAGUUGUUCCAGGUAUUGAUGUACCACCGUAAAACCCUGAGAGUGCACCAGAACCGAUUCCCAUAGGUACGGUCUCAUGCAACGCCCAACGCAUUGACGUUAGUUCCCACAUUAACGGGAGUACAGGCCAAGAAAAUUGGCAAAAAACUCAAAAAAAUCCCAUCCCGGGAAGAAAGAGAGGCAAAUAGGAGAAACAGGGCGGGAAAACCUCAGCAUGCCGUUCAUAUGAUCAUUGGGGGGGAACGACAUUCCUAAAGGACCCGUGAUAAAACGGGUAAAAGUGUCCGCUGCAACAGAAGGGUUAAUCCGUCCUGCAUGUCCGAAGUCAUCCUUGCAUUCGGCGAGGAAGAUUUUGAGACCUUGACUCGACCACAUAACAAUGUGCUCGUAAUUUCAUUUCUCUUGAAUAACAUUCAAAUUAAAGGUGUACUCGUGGAUCCAGGUAGCUCAGCCAAUAUAAUCAGGUCAAAGGUGGUAGACAACUUGGGCUGCUCGAUCAGAUCGUACCUACCUCCCGAGUCCUCAACGGCUUCAACAUGGCCGGCGAAGCAAUGAAGGGGUAGAUCACCCUCCCAAUCAAUAUGUCUGGUGCAGUCCAGAACGCCAAAUUCCAUGUCAUCGGAGGUGACAUGAGGUAUAAUGCAUUGCUUGGUAGGCCGUGGAUACAUAACAUGAGGGUAGUACCGUCAACUCUGCAUCACAUGAUGAAGUUUCUGACAAAGGAUGGCAUAAAGACAAUAUAUGGAGAACAACAUGCGGCAAAGGAAAUGUUCGCGGCUCAUUGGGAGGCAUCAAAUUCUAUGCACUCUACCUCGGAAGAACCGGGAGGAAAAUAGAUCGCCGAGGAUGAUGAAGAAGAUUUCCUCGCUCCUCGAACCUUCGUUGCCCCCAAAAAGUCAGAUGCAACGAAGUCGACUAUUGAAGGAUUAGAGCAAGCUGUUUUGAACAAAUAUCUCCCAGAUCAGAAGGUAUACUUAGGAACGAAACUAAUCCCCGAACUCAGGAAAAAUUCAUUCAAUAUCUUAUUAAUAACAUCGAUUGCUUUGGUUGGUCCCAUUUAGAUAUGACAGGAAACACACCGGAAAUAACCACCCACCGACUGAGUGUCGACCCCAGAUUCAAACCGUUAAAACAAAAGAGGAGACCUCAGUCGGAAGUAAAACACACAUUCAUCAAGGACGAGUUAACAAAAACUCCUCAAAAUAAGGUCUAUUAGGGAGGUAAAAUAUCCCGAAUGGCUAGACAAUGUGGUGGUGGUUCCCAAAAAGGGAAAUAAGUUUAGAAUGUGCAUAGACUAUAAGGACAUAAAUAAAGCAUGCCCCAAGGAUUCAUUCCCAUUGUCUAACAUCGACCGCUUGAUCGAUGCCACGGUCGAUCAUGAGACCCUCACUUUUCUCGAUGCCUACUCAGGGUAUAAUCAAAUUCAGAUAAACCCCGAGGAUAGGGAAAAGACUUCGUUCAUCAUGAAGUACGGUACAUAUUGUUAAAAUGUAAUGCCCUUCGGGCUGAAAAAUGUUGGAGCCACAUACCAUCGCCUAGUUAAUAAAAUAUUCGAACAUCAAAUAGGCAAAUCCAUGGAAAUUUAUAUUGAUGACAUGCUAGUUAAGUCCUUGCGCAUAGAGGACUAUUUGACUCAUUUGCAGGAGACAUUCGACAUCAUCAGAAGCUAUAACAUGAAACUCAAUCCCGAGAAAUGUGCCUUCAGAGUGGGUUCGGGCAAAUUCUUAGGCUUUAUGGUGUCAAAUAGGGGAAACAAGAUCAACCCCAAUAAAAUCAAGGCCAUUGAAUAAAUCAUGGUGGUAAACAAUGUGAAGGCCGUGCAACGGCUGACCAGGUGGAUAGCAGCCUUGGGCCGAUUCAUAUCGAGAUCAUCAGACAAGAGUCAUCAUUUCUUCUCCUUACUAAAAAAAAUAACUUUGAAUGGACUCUGGAAUGCCAAUGUGCUUUAGAGGAGUUGAAACGAUAUCUGCCUAGCCCACCUUUACACCACACCCCAAAUGAGGAUGAGAUGUUGUUUUUAUACCUAGCCAUAUCCGAGAUAGCGGUAAGUGGGGUCCUAGUCCGAGAAGAGCAAGGUACGCAAUUCCCUGUUUAUUAUGUAAGUCAGACCCUGGGAGAUACCAAAACCAAGUAUCCGCACCUAGAAAAAUUGAAACCUUACUUUCAAUGUCAUCACAUUUGUGUUUUAACUACAUAUCCUCUUCGAAGCAUAUUGCAUAAGCCCGAAUUAUUGGGCCAACUGGCCAAAUGGGCCAUCGAACUCGAGGGAUAUGAUAUCGAGUAUCAACCCCGAACGACUAUCAAGUCCCAAAUUCUGGCAGAUUGUGUGGCCGACUUUUUGCCCUCCCUUGUGCCCGAGGUAGAGAAAGAACUUUUACUAAAAACGGGCACGUCUUUCGGGGUGUGGACACUAUUCAUUGACGGCACCUUGAAUGUGAGAGAAUCCAGGCUCGGCAUAGUUUUGAGGCCACCUAUGGGCGGCAUAAUAAGGCAAUCAAUAAAAACUGCUAGGUUGACUAACAACAAGCCUAAUAAGAGGCUAUGAUUGCAGGUCUGGAAUUGGCCAAAAGCCUAGGAGCUAAAUUCAUCGAAGCAAGAUGUGAUUCCCUCCUGGUAAUAAAUCAGGUAAAUGGGAGCUUUGAGGUUUGAGAAGACAUGAUGCAAAGAUACUUAGACCAAAUUCAAGUCACAUUGCACCGCUUCAAAGAAUGGACUUUGGUCCACGUACCUUGAGAGUAGAAUAGCAAGGCCGAUGCCCUUGCAAACCUGGGAUCAUCUGUCGAAGAAGAUGACCUACUCCCCGGGGCUGUUGUUCAGCCAUCUAAAUCAGUGAUCGAGGAAGGUCAUGCCGAGAUCAACUCCACUAGCCUGAUGUGGGAUUGGAAAAAUAAAUAUAUCGAUUAUUUAGAAAGUGGGAAACUACCCGCGGACCCAAACGAAUCGAGGGCCCUAUGGACUAAAGAAGCCUGAUUCUCGCUUGACAAAAAUAGAACACUGUACAGAAAAACCUUUGAUGGGCCCCUAAUAGUAUGUUUGGGGCCGGGGGACACAGAUUAUGUGCUUCGAGAAAUCCACGAGGGCACCUGCGGAACACUCUGGUGACGAUUCCUUAGUCCGAAAGGUGAUCAGAGCAGGCUACUAUUGGGACAACAUGGAAAAGGACGCCAAAGAAUUCGUCCGUAAGUGCGACAAAUGCUAGAGAUUUGCCACGAUGAUUCACCAAACCGGUGAACAGCUGCAUUCGGUCUUGUCGCCAUGGACUUUCAUGAAAUGGGGGAUGGACAUCGUCGGACCCCUACCAACGGCACCAGGUAAAGCUAGAUUUAUUUUAUUUAUGACUUACUACUUCUCAAAAUGGGUGGAAGUGCAGGCUUUCAAUAAGAUAAGAGAAAAAGAAGUCAUUAACUUCAUCUAGGACCACAUCAUGUGCCGAUUCGGAAUCCCUUCCGAGAUAACAUGUGAUAACGAAAAGCAAUUCAUCGAAAGCAAAGCAACACAGUUCCUCGAGGAUCACAUACAAGACCAUCAUUCAAAACUUAAAAAAGAAGUUGGAAAGUGCUAAGGGAAAAUGAAGAGAAAUAUUACCCGGAGUGCUAUGGGUAUAUUGAACAACUCCAAAACCACGCAUAGGAGAAAUACCCCUCUCUUUGGUAUAUGGAGUCGAGGCUUUGAUACCGGUAGAGUUCGGAGAGCCAAGCGCCAGAUUCUGACACACCAUAGAGAGCUCAAACAACGAGGCCAUGAUUGCGGCCCUCGAACUGCUGGAUGAAAAGCGAAAAGCUUCGCUGGUCCGAAUGCCCGCCCAAAUACAAAGGAUCGAAAGGUACUAUAAUAGGAGAACAAAUAUCUGACAUUUCAGAGUCGGGGACUUAGUUCUGAGGAAAGUCACCCUAAAUACUCGAAACCCUAAUGAAGGAAAGCUGGGCCAAAACUGGGAAGGACCGUACCGCGUCCUCGGAGUGAUCAGCAAAGGGUCCUACAAACUUGGUACCAUAGAAGGCGAACAAAUUCCAAGCAAUUGGAACAUAUCAAUGCUCAAACGUUACUACUGCUAAGGUGUCCGAUGGAAGACGCCAAAACAUCCCUUGGCUUGAAGACCUUAGGUUUUAAAGUGUAUGUUGCACUCUUUUCCUUUGGUCGGAUUUUAUCCCAAGAAGGGGUUUUACCAACAAGGUUUUUAAUGAGGAAAUAUCUAUGUGCUACCUAAGGAGAAUUUCACAAGUGUUCAAGGCUUCUCUCCAAUCAACCUCGAACACUGGGGGGCAUCCCCCCGAAGGAUCACCUUCUCGAAGAAGUCAAGAUGAGCUAAAAAGGGUCUCAAUAGGAAAAUGAUGUAUCAGGCCAAACGGUCGAACAGACCGUGUCCGCAUAGAAUAAAUUGAGCCCUUGAUGGCACAAACAUGUAUACUUGUGCCAAGUUAUUAAAGAAUAUUUUCUCCUCCAUCAAAACGCUUUACGCUUCAAAGAAGUAUGCUACUUUUGCAAGAAACAACUUCAGAGCCAGAAAUUUCCCGAACACUCGAGGACUGACGCCAAAAGCUCAAGGCCAGAUGACCUCCGGGUUGAAAACUUCAAACUCGUAAGCCCUCGAUGAGGCAACACCAAGUUUACAAAAAAUGGCUCUAGAUCCAAGAAACUUUCGACGUCUCGAGAACUAUUGUGGACUAUCAUCCCAUCGAGCUAUCAGAAACUCAAGGUCGUAAGACCCCAAACGGGCAACCUCGAGCCCGAAAGCCCUCCAUGUGGAAAUACUAGAAAAUGUAAGACCUCUACGAGGCAUUACCAAUAGUUUAAGCCCUCAAUGAGGCAACAACAAGCUUACAAGGAAUGGGUCCAGAGCCAAGAAACUUUUGAUGCUUCAGGGAUUGUCACCGACUAUCACCCCCAUCGAUUUGUCGAAAACCCGAGGCCAUAAGAUCUCAUGCGGUCAACCUCGAGCUCGUAAGACCUUCAUAGGGCAAUACCAAAUCUGCAAAACCUCAAGCAAGGCAUGAAUUAUACUUGUACCAAGUAACCAAAUCUGUAAGACCUCAAUAAGGCAUGUUAAAAUUUAUAUGACCUUGCAAAAAGGCAUCAUCCCGAUCUUAAAGUUAAGGCUAUAUAUUCGAACUUGUAAGACCCCUAAAAAGGUAUACCCUCGAUAUAAAUGCUAAAACUACUUCACUCGGGGACUGAAAGGCGUUGGCUAAACUCAAUGACUACGGUCACAAGGCUCCGACCAAACUCACGCGAUUCGGGAAUGGCUGACCGUCGCUAUAAAAUCACAGGACUUCAAUUACUUUGAAAAAACUUCGAAAAGAAUCAGUUAAUUAGUCUACCCUUGACAUAAGCAAAAGAUCUUCGAUCAUAUCAGCUCCAAACAACAGGCUUCGAAACAAUUCAGCCGUCAAACGAAACCUCCAGAGGUGCUCAUUUAUCGCUACAUAAUGGCUCACAAUCAAGGCUCUUAUCGAGUCGUCAAAGAGUUGAGCGAACAUAAAAACUUCAAAAAGUCUUUAACGAGGGAAAAUAAAGCCUACAUAAAGAGGUCGUACCGACCCAAUGCGUAAGAGCCACUGUCGCCAGCCUAUAUAAAGAGGUCAUAUCGACCCAAUUCGUAAGAGCCACUAUCGCCAGCCUAUAUUAAGGGUUCGUACCUACCCGACGCGUAAGAGCCUAAGAGCCAACUUUAAAUUUUGAAAACUUAAGGGUUAGUGAGCUUGAGUCAAAAUCCAACUUGAAAACUAAGCCCAAACAAUUAAAUAAAUGCCUAAGGGCAAAUGCGUAAGAGCCUGCAAGCCAGCCCAACAAGCCCGAGGGCCUAUUUAUCAACCUAAGGGUUUUUACCACGAAUUCCAUUACAUCUGGAUAAUCAUUGAUGAACGUCAAAAUUUAAAACAAAGAAAAAAAAGAAAAAACCUUUACAUACAUAUUGGAAGGUUCACAAAGGUGCAUUUACAAGACCUAUGUCUGAAGCCCUUACAAGGGCAAAAAAGUAAAUAAAACCCUAAUCUACCACCGGGGCUAUGCCUUUGACGGCUCCCUCGGAAAUUGUGCUUUCAACAGCACCAGCCAUAACCCCCAGGUUUUCAAUGGCAUUUCCCUCUUCGGGGACUCGCCUCCAUCUUUAUCAUCUCCUGAGUAGCUGCUCGACUCGUCUUUAGAGGAAUGUAGGACCGCGGACUCCUCUUCUACGAUCUUCACCCUCUCGAUCUCAGCAGGCAAAAUGAUGCCCCCACAUAUAUAUCCUCGAUAUCCCAUCUCCAAGAUUCUAAACGGGCAUGUCCACUGCCAGAGUCAAUCGCAGCUCGGCCUCCUCUGACACUUUCUUGGCCUGAGCAUUUGUAGUAGCAGCAUCAUCUUUGUACGAGGAUACGAGCUCCUCAGCUUCAGCCCUAACAUUGGAUAACGCAACAACCAUCUCAGUAUGAAGAUCCCUGUACUUAUUACUCUCUGCCCUUGCAUCAUCAAGUUGAUGCCCGACUGAGGCCACCUCCCCCUGGAGGGUAUCUCAAUCAGAGAUUAUCUCACUUACGUGCCAUCUGAGUUUGAAAAUUUCAGAGUCCCUGACUCGGAGCUCCUCCUUCAUUAGGACAUCUUUCUUCUCAAGCUGCAAAGAUCAACCCGAAGGUGUUAAAGCAUUAAAGCUGGGUAAACAUGUAGACAAAAAAAAGCAAGAACUAUAUAACCUGCUCAGUAAGAUGAGUCCUGUCUCGGGAUGCCGCCUCCAAACAACCCCUAAGGCUACGGAGUUCCUCUUCCCUCUUAGUAGAAAGAGCUCUAAGCUCAUCAGCUUCCAAGGUGAUUUUUUAUGCUCACCCUCAUAACGAGUCAGCUCGGUUUGAAACCUGGCGAAGGUUUGAUUGUAAAGCACCUUGGCUUGAAACCAUUAAGGAAACGAGGUUAGCAAGAGAAAUAUUAGGGCACCAAGCAGAAUUUUACAAAAAAAAUUACCUGCUAACAAAGCCUGUCGAUCUCAUUGAAAAUAAGCGAGACAUCAAGCUCAGGCUUUUCCUCGGGUGCAACAAAAUCCUUUCAAGCACAUACUUAUCUCCGACGGGCGCCCCCGCAUCGAAAGACUCUUUAUUUUGGGCGUCCUGCAUCUCCCUCAUAGGAAAAGCCGAUCCCAAAGGGGAAUUGCUCACUUCAAUGAUUACAGCUGAAUCAAUCGGGCCCGUCUCUUGUUCCAGGAGAGCUUCAAAACCAAGCUCCCCCAGACCACCUAACGGAUGCACCUCAGCCCGAGGGGAGUUUUUGCCAAUGGGUAACUCGGGGAUAUCACCUGAAGCAACCUGGAAGGACUCUUCAAUCCGAGGUAGGACAACAACAAAAUCAAGUUCCGAUCUAGAAGCCAUCGACUUUGUAGUAUGUGGGACGGUCAAUCUUUCUCCCCCCGCAGGUGCUUCCGAGGAAUCAUCUUUUUUCUUGCCUUCAGCUCAUGGACUCCCAAUAAUUUCUAGAAUUAAGGUUGCCGAGUCAGCCUUAGGUUCUUCCACUUUGGCUUUCUUGGAUUUCGGAGAACGAGUCGGCGACUUCCUACACCUUUUCUUCUCUUUGGCGGGUUUCAUUGUAUCCGCUUCACCAAGUAGUGCUUUCCUUAUAAGGGGACCUCCCCUAGACCUGCACAGAUGCAAAUUAUAAGUGCAGGGAAUGAGGACGCUAUUAGUAAUAAUUCUUUUGUUAAGUGCAAUUACGGCAGAAUUGGAGGCUUACCGUGGUCCUUGGCUUCCCAUCGAGACUGGGACAAAUCGCGCCACAUGCGCUCGGCGUAUGGGCAAAUCAAAUCCAGCUGGUUGACCCAACCCGAGAGGUCCUUAACCGCAUUGGGGUAAACUACGAUAGCUGCAUCAGUGGAGAAUGUUAGUUCGCAGGCAGAUGUAUCCAAAAAGAAACAAGGGAACAUUUAAUUAACUUAUCUACUUACGUUUCAUGUUCCACCUUUCAGGGAACGACAUCCUCUCUAUUGGAAUCAGGUCUGAAGUCCUAACUCGGAUAUAACGACUCUUCCACCCACCGUUCCUAACCUCAUCGGUACAAGGAAGAAGGGCUCUUGAGGCCGAUAGUGGAUCUUAAUCAGGCCCCCAUGAAAGAGUCGGGGACUAUACAUUCUGACGAGGUGAUCGAGGGUGAAAGGAAUCCCCUUAAUCAUGUUCGCAUAAUAUCUGGUCAUGUAAACAAUGUGCCAGAAUGAAGGAUGAAUUUGGCCGAGGGGUUACUCGAUAUCGUUUGCAGAAGUCGAGGAUCAUGGGGUCUAUUGGAGGCGAGGAUGGCUCCACUAGGCCAAGGAUAAAUAGAUAAGUAUACACACUGAGAAAGUCAGCCUUGUAUGAUGUUAUAUCCUCCCCCCGAGAAGGAAUCUCCACAAGCACCGCAUCCCCCCUACGGUAGUCAGUCUUCACCCUUUCUUUGCUAUUGAACUAACAUAUUGGGACACACGUUCGUAUCGUCCUGGCUUUGAAGAAGGUUUUUCGGUCUUAAAAUCAGAAGUCAUUUCAAAGGAUCCUGGAACGCAUUCCCCGACGCGAGGAGGCAUUAUUGCUUUACCCUUAGACGAGCGCGAGGAUGAAGAAGGCACAUCUUCCUGAAGAACAGGGUGGAAGUUUUUGCCAUUCUUGUUAAGAGAUUUCAGAGGAGAAAUGAAAAUUGUGUUUCAGGAGAGAACACAAGAGAGAGGUAAGAAGAACUCUUUUGAGGGCUUGGUGGUGCAGUGGAAGACAAGGAGAGAAAGAAGAGGUAUUUAUAGAGGUCUAACGUGAACGUUGGAGCGAACUAAAGGAUAUCCAACCGUUGUAAUUAAUUCAAAGGCUUUUAAGGGCUCUAUGAAUGCGACCUUUAGACACCUCAUUUUGUCAUGUCUAUCGCUUGAUAGGGCGUAACUACCGCCGUGAUGGAAGUAUCGAAGGGGUAAGAAUUCGAGAUCAUUCCUUAUCGUUUUACUCUAAGAAACGUGGGGACUAUCUGUAAACAGAUAAAAUCGAAGAGCCCGAUUUUGCAAUCAUUACGUCUUUUCGUAGCUUUACCUCAAAGGCCUGGGGGUACAGUUCAAGGUUUUGACAUCGAGGGUUCUUUAUGCCCGACCUCGGGGCUGCUUAAGCUGAUGGUUAUCAUAGACAAACGAGAAGUUUCCUAGGCACGUGGUCAAAGCUGACAACACCUGCAAGAAUAGCACCAGUCUGUACCAGACUGCUAAGUAGUUGUACCAGCUACAUUUCUUUGUAAUACAUACACAUGUACAAUGUUGGGAUUUCCCCUCCUAUAUAAAGGGGACCCUUGUUAUUUUUUGCGCACAUGACAUAAUAUCAUAUACUCGAUACAACAUUCAAUACAAGAACAUUCUCUGCUCUCUAACACAUUCUCUCUUGAUUCUAUUAUUUACAUUUAUUGCUUACAUUUAUUGUGUUCCAUUGAUUAUUCUUCAUUUAUUGCUCGUUAUUAAUCAUAAAUAGCCAUCAUCAAAGCUCUCAAAACUGUUAGUCCUUCAUCGGCUAUCCAUAACUUAGCACAUAGCUCGACCUUGAGGCCCCGAUUCUCAACCACUCGGUUUGCCUAAAUAUGCCGCUUUCAAGUUCUUAUCUCAUUUUCUACUCUCACAUGUAGCGUCUACUGCCUAACAAAUAGUAUAAAAAUAAAUCACGUAUUUUUAGAACCACAAAAUCAAAUUUAAUUGUCAUUACCAUUUUCUAGGUAAACUACACCAAAGUAUCAAUCACCAGAGAAAAACGAACUCAGAGCUAUGUGCCCGAGGACGUCUUACCAUUCUAUGACAAGGAAGCAAAAGGCAUAUCUCAGCCUCAUAACGACGCCCUGGUAAUCUCUAUCCUUUUGAAUAAAAUUCAAGUUAAACAUGUUUUAGUGGAUCCAGGUAGCUCAGCAAACAUAAUGAGAUCUAGGGUCGUGGAAGAACUCGGCCUACAAGAUUAGAUUGUACCUACAUCCCGGGUCCUGAAGGGCUUCAACAUGGCAAGCGAAACAACAAAGGGAGAAAUUUUCUUGCUUGUAAACGUAGUCAGGACCAUACAAGAUACAAAGUUCCAUGUCAUCGAAGGUGACAUGAGGUAUAACGCACUCCUCGGGAGACUAUGGAUACACAAUAUGAGGGUAGUGCCUUUAACUCUUCACCAAAUGAUGAAGUUCCCAACAGAGGAAGGAGUUAAAAUAGUCUACGGGGAGCAACAUGCUGCAAAAGAGAUAUUCGCAAUCGAGGAAGUGGUGCCGACUCCAUAGCUUUCGACCUCGAAGAAGUCGAGCACUAAAGAUAAGCAGGUGACCAAAUAACAAUCACCGCCUCCAACCUCGAUAGAGUCGGAGCAAUAGGUAAUCGAAGAUGAAGAUGAGGAUUUCCUUACUCCUCGAACCUUCGUCAUUCCCGAAGAAUCUGAUGCAACUAAAUCAACUAUCGAGGAGCUGGAACAGGUCAUUUUGAUCGAGUACAUGCCCGAGAGAAAGGUAUACCUGGGAACGGGAUUGACCCCAAACUUAGGAAAAAACUCAUUCAAUUUCUUAUUGAUAAUAUGGAUUGCUUUGCUUGGUCCCAUUUAGAUAUGAAUGGGACUCCACCGAAAAUCACCACACAUCGCCUAAGCACCGAUCCCAGGUUCAAACCGGUGAAGCAAAAAAGGAGGCCUCAAUCCGAGGUAAAGCAUGUUUUCAUAAAGGAUGAGGUAACCAAACUUCUUAAAAUAGGAUCUAUUCGGAAGGUAAAGUACCCCGAGUGUCUAGCCAACGUAGUUGUAGUUCUUAAAAAAGGAAACAAACUUAGAAUGUGCGUAGAUUAUAAGGACUUGAACAAGGCAUGUCCAAAAGUUUCUUUCCCCUUGCCAAACAUCGAUCGUAUGAUCGAUGCCACGGGUGACCAUGAGAUCCUUACUUUUCUCGAUGCCUACUCCGGGUACAAUCAGAUUCAGAUGAACCCGGAGGACUAGGAAAAGACUUUGUUUAUUACUAAGUUUGGAACUUAUUGUUACAAUGUAAUUCCCUUUGGGCUAAAAAUGCAGGAGCUACGUACCAACGCCUAGUUAACAAAAUGUUCGAAGAACAAAUAGGUAAAAAAAUAGAAUUCUAUAUUGAUGAUAUGCUGGUUAAGUCCCUACGCGCAGAGGACCAUUUAGUUCAUUUGCAGGAAAUAUUUGCAAUUUUGGGGAAAUACAACAUGAAGCUUAACCCAGAGAAUGUGCCUUCGGAGUUUGCUCGGGUAAGUUCCUCGGCUUCAUGGUGUCAAAUCGAGGUAUCGAAAUCAACUGCCAUAAGAUCAAGGCUAUCUAGGAUAUCAUGAUCGUGGAUAGUGUGAAGGCCGUGCAAAGGCUAACAAGGCAAAUAACUGCCUUGGAUCGAUUCAUUUCGAGCUCGUUGGAUCGAAGUCACCAGUUCUUUUCCUUGCUCAAAAAGAAAAAGAAUUUCAUGUGGACCAUGGAAUGUCAGCAAGCCUUAGAAGAAUUAAAAUGAUAUAUGUUGAGCCCGCCUUUGCUUCACACCCCGAAGGUAGAUGAAAGGCUUUAUCUAUACUUGGAAGUGUCCGAGAUUGUGGUAAGUGGGGUACUAGUUCGAGAAGAGCAAGGUACGCAAUUUCCUAUUUAUUAUGUAAGCUAAACUUUAGAAGAUGCUGAAACUAGGUUCCCUCACUUAGAAAAAUUAGCACUUGCAUUGAUAAGCGCAUCUCAAAAGUUAAAACUAUAUUUUCAAUGUCAUCCUAUACGUGUAUUAACCACUUACCCCCUUCGAAAUGUUUCGCAUAAGGCCGAGCUAUCGGGCCGAUUGGCCAAAUGGGCCAUUGAACUUAGUAGGUACGGUAUCGAAUAUCAACCCCGAACGACCAUCAAGUAUCAAAUCCUAGCUGACUUCAUGGCCGAUUUUACGCCGACCCUCAUACCCGAAGUAAAGAAAGAACUCCUAUUAAUCUUGGGUACAACAUCGGGGGUAUAUACCCUCUUCACGAACGGUGUCUCGAAUGUGAAGAGGUACGGGCUUGGCAUUGUCUUGAAGCCACCCACAGGUGAUACUAUUAGGCAAUCUAUCAAAACUCCUAGAUUAACUAACAAUGAGGUCGAGUAUGAGGCCAUGAUUACAGGUCUCGAUCUAGCUAAAAGCUUGGGAGCAGAAAUUGUAUACGGCCAAAAUCAAAGAGUCUAAUUUUAUGGUCGUUAUGGCACUUCGUAAGACCGCCCCCAGAAGGCUCAAGGUUUGACCCCGAAGGUUCUCAAUGAUCGACCUCGAGGCAGUUCAAAUCGAUGGCUAUGAUGGACAAACGGGAAGUUCCCAAGGCACGUGAUUAAAGCUGACUAAUUCUAUUAGGCUAGUUCAAGCCCGUACCGUGGCAUUAAAUAGUUGUACCAUCCUCAAAUCCUUGUAAUAAAUGCGUUUGUACUAUGUUGGGAUACCCCCUUAUGUAUAAAGGGGACCCUUGUCAUUUUGUAACACAUACAACAUUCAAUACAAGAACAUUCUCUGCUCUCUAACUUAAACACAUUCUCCUUUGAUUCUAUUACUUACAUUUAUUACUUACAUUUAUUGUGUAUCAUUAAUUGUCCUUCAUUUACUACUCAUUAUUGACCAUAAAGAGCUCUUAUCAAAGCUCUUAGAAUUGUUAGUCCUUCAUCGGCCGUUCACAUCCUAACGCUUAGCUCGACCUCGAGGCCUCGAUUCUCAGCCACUCGGUUUGCUCGACACACUGCCUUCAAUUUCUUACCAUAUUUUCUAGUCUCACACUUAGCAUCUACUGCCUAACAACUAGCAUAAAAAUAAAUCACAUAUUUUUAGAACCACAAAAUCAAAUCUAGGUGUAAUUACCAUUUUCAAGGUAAACAGUUUGGCGCCCACCGUGGGGCUAAAAAUAAUACUGAUUGUUUUUUUACUGGUCUGCUACAUAACGCAAGUUAUCUUUCACACUUUUUCUUAUCCAAGAAUCUUUAAUUUCAGGUCAAAAUGUCUAACUCAGUGAACGCACAUGAAAACAACGAUCUUGAGGACCAUGAAGAGAAUGGUGUAGAUGUCCCAGGUAUUGGUGUACCACUACGAAACCCUGAGGAUGCACCAGAGCCAAUCCCCAUGGAUGUGGUCUCACGCAAUGCCCAACACGUCGAUAUAAGCUUCCACACCAACAAGAGUAUAUGCCAAGAAGACCAAUAAGAGGCUUAGAAAACCCAGCUCGGGAGGAGUAAGAGGUUAGCAUUCACGUCAUCUUUGAGAUGUUAUAGGCACGACAGCUGGCGAUUUCUCAACCGCAAAGCCACCAAAAACCUCCAAGCACAGCGGAACCAGAAGCAUCCCCUCAAGCCGAACAUGUACCAGAAAGGUCAAGCAACAACGGGUCAAUAGCUGACCCCUCCAUUAUAAAGAUGCUCGAGGAUCUCACAAAGAGGAUCGAAUUGGGUGAAAAAAAGAUAGAAGCCAACGACAAAAAGGUGGAGACCUACAAUUCAAGGGUUGAUCAGAUUCCGGGCGUACCCCCGAUCCUGAAGGGUGUAGAUUCAAAGAAGUUUGUGCAAAAGCCAUUCCCAUAAAAUGCCGCUCCAAAGCCCAUCCCAAAUAAAUUCAGAAUGCCCGAUCUUCUGAAGUACAACGGAACCUCGGACCCCAAUAAGCACGUCACUGCUUACACUUGUGCGGUGAAGGGCAACGACAUGAGGGACGAUGAAGAUCGAAUCCGUGCUGCUAAAAACGUUCGGAGAAACACUUUCGAAAGGGGCCAUUAUUUGGUAUCACAACCUAGCCCCAAAUUUGAUAGACUCGUUUGCCAUGCUGGCAGAUUCUUUCAUAAAGGCACAUGUCGGUGCCAUAAAGGUGGCUACAAGGAAAUCCGAUGUCUUCAAAAUCAAACAAAAAGAAAAUGAGAUGCUGUGGGAGUUUGUAUCUCGCUUUCAAAUGGAGUGAAUGGAGUUACCACUAGUCUCCGAUGACUGGGCAGUGCAGGCCUUCACCAAAGGAUUGAACGAAUGAAGCUCGGUGGCUUCGAAGUAGCUGAAGCAGAAUUUAGUUGAAUAUCCCGUUGUGACUUGGUCGGAUGUCCACAACUCAUAUCAAUCAAAGAUUAGGGUCAAGGACGACCAACUAGGAGCCCCCACGGGCUCGGUAUUUCCUAGUAGGCUUCCGACAAAGGAAUUAAGGCCAAAAAAGAAAGGUACCAACCAUACACCGAAGAUAGAAGAAAUGCCCCAAGCCGUAACAUACACUGAAAUAAUCAAAGGACAGAUCGAGGUCAGAAUCUUGGGGGACUCGUAAGCAAAGUCGGAUUCGAUAGACACACAUGACUGACGGAGGCACCCCGCUUGUCUGAAUACAACUUCAACAUUGACGUUUUGGACAUUGUAUUUGCCAUCGGUAAAAUCAAAGACACCCGUGGCCAAGACCUGUACUAUCAAAUCCGUAUUAGAGGAACCCUAACUUAGUGUGCAAAUUUCACGGCACACACAGUCAUAGGACCGAAGAUUGUAGACAGCUCCGAGAAUAAGUAGCUCGGCUACUCAGCUAAGGGCACCUCUGAAAGUUCCUUAGCGACCAAGCCAAAAGUUUGCUCCGAGAAAGAGAGGCGAAUAGGAAAAAUGAAAGAGAUGAGCCGCAACAUGUCAUCCAUAUGAUCGUUGGAGGAAUCGACAUCCCGCAGGAACCCAUUGUCAAAAGAACAAAAAUAUCCAUCACCAGGGAGAAGCAAACUCAGGGUUAUAUACCCAAAGAUGCGCUCAAAAAAUUCACGCCUAAGAGGGCCUCGAUAGAAAAACUUUGUAAUGGGCCAAACGGUCAGAUGAGUCGUGUCCGUAUAGAAUAGUUGAGCCCCGACGGCAAAACAUGUAUGCAUGUAUCAAUUAUUUGAAGAAGCAUUCUGUUAAUAUCAAAAACACUUUAUGUCUCAAAGAAGUCUACUAUUAUACAAGCUCUACACUUAUAAUCCUACGGGAAAUGGCUCAAGAGCAUAAAAGCGCCCCUGAAUACUCGGGGACUGUCAUCAACAAUCAGUACAUCCGAGUCAUUGAAAACUCAAACUCAUAAGACCUCAAAGAGGCACCCCCUCGAAAUAAAGGCCAAGGCCAAUAUACUCGGGGACUAACUUUUCAAACAAGUUCAAAAAGUUAUCGGGAAACAAGUCCAAGUGAAAUACCCGAAGGCUAUGGCCAUAUAAACACUACGGUCCUAUAAAGGCUAUGGCCAAAAUAAUGCGGCUCGGAGGUGUCCGACUUCCACAAUAAAUUAAAGGCCUUCAAACAUUGAAAAUCAGGUUUAAUCAGGCUACCCUCGGCAAAAUAAAAACAUAAAGGGCUUCGAUAAAUUCAACCCUCGAAUAAUUAAACGGCUUCGAUAAAUUCAGCCUUCGAAUAAUUUAAAGACUUCGAUAAACAUCAGCCAUCAGAAAAACCUCAAGAGGUAUUCGGCUAUUAUUACACAAAAAAGUUACUAAUAAAGUUGCGAUACGUCAAAUCCUCAAAAAACCCAACGGGUACAAAAAACACAUGCUAAGGCAUACAAAAUUUUACUAAGUCUUUUAGCCAAAAAGAGGGAGAAAGUAUAGCCACUUUAAAGGCCGAAUCGGCCCAACCUAAAGAUCCUAAGGGCCGACUUAAAGAGCCCAAGGGCCGAUAUAUAAGAGCCUAAGGGCCGAUAUAUAAGAGCCUAAGGGCCAACUUAAAAGAGCUUAAGGGCCAAAAUAUAUAGAGUUCGAGACCUCGCUCUCACUCAACUCGGACUCAAGAGUCCCAUUAUUUUUAGCUCAUAUCGAAUUGAUUUAAGCUUAGAUCGAGGAUUAACAAAACCUUAAGGGGUAUUAUAUUGAUCAAUAAAAACCUAAGGGUUUAUUAUGUUCUGAGUCCGAAUCAAAACUCGGACUGAUUGUUUGAAUUAUCGAAAUCUUCCACAAAUGAAAACAAAAUAAAAUUCGACAGAAGUUGAGGAUAGAGCAAAAAUAUACUUUAUAUUCAUGAGGGGUGUUUUACAAAACAUAUUUACAAUGCCCGAAAAGGGCCCUUGCACAGAAAAGAAAAAGAGAACCUGAUCUAUUUUCGAGGUCAUAUCCCCGGGAGUGCCAUCCUCAAGAACUGCACAUUCGUCAGCUCUAUCUUCGGGAGCCUCCUCUCCCUCAGGAACAUCUUCUUCACCUUUCUCGUCCCCCGAGCCACUCGUUACCUCCUUAUCAUCGAAAGAGACAUGAAACCUGGCAUCGGUUUCCCGCGCCUUUGCCUCGGCUAUCUCCUCAGCAAGGUCGAACCCUCGGGCAUGGAUUUCUUCGAGAGUCUCCCUACGGGCUUGGCACAUGGACAAAUCAUUGCUCCUUUUUUCCCGGACGGAGGCCUCCCUCAACUCUGCUUGAAUGGUCACAGCGUCCUUUAAGUAUAUGGCAAUGGAUUUAUUAGCUGCAGCCUUCGUCUUCUCAGCUUCAGCCUUAGCCUGAACAACUUCGGCUCGGGCUCUAGCGAGCUCUGCCUCUAACUCCUCAAUUUUCUUAGCCUGGGCUUGACCCUUCACAUUAAUGCCUCGGAGUUAAGUUUCAGCCAAGGCCAGUUGGGCUGUAACAGCUUCCUUAUCGGCAGCGAGCUGAUCCAUGCUCUCUUUCCAUCGAUGGCAAUCGGCUUUAACUUGAUCAACCUCGCCUCGGAGCUGCCCAAUCAUCUCUAACUUUUGCCGCAACUGAGAUAUCAAAGUGUUAGCCUCCGAAGUAAGGCCAAGAAAGCCAUACUCUGUUAAAAUCACAAUUAUCUGCUCAUCUAGCUCGGACUCAUUUUUCCGAGCUUUGGCCAAUUCAGCCCGGAGGUCCUUAAGCUCCUCUUCCUUUCGGCUACAGAAGAGCCUCAGGGCCUUCUCUUUACCCGAAACUUUCCUAUGCUCGGCCUCACAUUGGCUCAACUCAGCUCUAAACUUAAUGAUGUCCUAUACAUGAAAUGAAGAUAUAUCAGUCAAAGGAAAAGGAGGAAAGGAAACAAUUACAACAAUGAAAGUUAGUAUUUACCCGACACAGGAGAUGUUGAGCCUCUUCAAAAAUGGUGGACGCAUCAUUGAGGUCAAUAGUAUCCUCGACCCCAGCAAAGCAACUCUGAAAGGGAUCUUCUUCGAGGACCUUGCUCGGAUCGGGCAUACGCAGAGCGUUAGCUUCUUUGAUUGCCUCCUCAAAAUAAGUUGGCAAAGAAAGAGCGUGACUUGUUGUCAUGGACCCGAGCUCUUCACCCGGGGUGUUCUAAUUAGCUUCGGGGGUCUCCCCAUUUGCCCCUUCUGGUAUAUUUGUUGAAGUCGAAGGAACGAUCUCAACCUCCGGGGACACGGGGCCCUUACCCGUAUCUUUCUUUGGGGUUCCCUCACCACAUAAUGAGGUCUCUAGUUUGGAGGGCUUGGCGGCCUCGAUUGGUUUCCUGGCUCGAUGCACCAACGCGGACUCUUCACUGUCAUUUUCUUCGUCAUCCGGGGAAUCGUGGGUCGAAUCUGCGCCUGCUUGAGCAAAUCUCUUACGCAGCCUUCAAGCAGGGGUUUUCUUGUCUUGAGGAUCUUCAGGCUUCGAACCCUUUUUCUUUUGUUGUCCUUCUCAAACUUCAGGAUCGAUGACUUGGUCCCUUCCCCGGGCGGGGCUGGCCUCAUUUCGGAGAUAUCUCUGAUGCCUGCACAAGUAAAUAUGAAUAAGUUGAUGCCACAAAAGAAUGGAAAACAUCUAAAACUUGAAAAGAAAAUUUACCAUGAUGUUUGGCCUCCCAUUUGUCCCUCGAUAGACCAUGCCAUUUGCGCUCAUCAUACGAGGAGGUCGCGGCCAACUUUCGGACCCAGUCCUCGAGAUCGGGUACAACGUGAGGUGUCCGAGAAACAACUGCAGAAAAGAUAAAAAUAUUAUUAUGGGAUGUGGAAGUUGAGUAUAUAUAGAUAUUAGGGAGAAUGACUCCACUUACGAUUAUAAUUUCAUCACUCCGGGAACGACAUUUUGUCCCGGGGAAUGACGUCUGAAGUCCUUACUCUAACGAACAGGCUCAUCCAACCCCGAUCCUUGGCUUCGCCGUUACUGGCAAAUAAGGCUUUCUUCGUGUGACGUUGUAACUUGACAAGCCCUCGAAACAGCUGGGGCUGGUAUAGUCGAAUCAAGUGGUUGAGAGUGAAUUCCAACCCCUUGGCCUUUUCGGAAAAGUAGCGCAGCAUAAUCACGAUGCGUCAAAAAGAGAGAUAAAUCUGGCCGAGGGUGAUUUCGUACGUUUUGCAGAAGCCGGUCACCACCGGAUCAAGGGAACCCAGUGUGAAGGGGUAAGUGUAAACACUUAAAAACCCCUCUACAUGGGUAGUAAUGCUUUCCUCGAGGCUCGGGAUCUGAACAAUGACCUCAUCUCCCCAGCCAGUGGCCUUCUUCAUAUCCUUAAGGUGCUCGUCCGAUAUCAAGCUAAGAUAUCGAGAUGCAUGCUCGCAUCGGCCUAGGACAUUGGAGGGAUUUCCAAUACUAAAAUACUUCUUAAUAACACAAGGGUCGGGGUGAUUUCUUCAAGAGUCCGCGGCAUCAUCAGUUUGGCCGACUGGGAGGUAGAAGAAGACGGCUCUUUAUCUUUAUUGGGGACCGUUUUGGAUGUUUUAGCCAUGAUUUCAAGCUAAAGAAUAUAGACUGUAUCAGAAUGUUAUGUUUUUAUAAGAACUUGGCAUUUUUUGGCGCUUAUGAAGGCGGUGGAGACAGUGAUUAGAGAAAGAGAUGAAGAAGAAAAAGAUGUAAUAAAAGAGUAAAGUUCUUUACUCAAAGGAAUAGCCUCAUAUUUAUAAAAGGGCAACGACGGUUCGGCGACGCUAGUGGCUGACCAAUACUGGCGUGCAUUCAAUGUUUUGGGGAAAUGGAUUGAUGGGAAGUUUCAGUCACUUCGAAUGCCUGUAUAACGGAAAUGAUGUCGUCACUAAAGACUUUGGAAAAACGAGGAUCAAAUCGUUACUUAUCAUCUUAUUCUAAAAAACGCGGGGACUAUAUGCAUACGAUUAAAAUCGUAUGCCUCUAAUUUAUAGGCCCGAGUGUCCAUCCUAGGCCUAAGUACGGGCGAGGUCGAGUUCGAGACCGACUGAUCAGACUUGAGCUCAACGCCAGAGUGCGAUGCCCGGAGAUAGGAGUGCGAGGAAUAGUGGGUCCAAGUGUGCUCGACCCUGAAAUAGUAUCGUUAUGGAUUUAUACCAGAACGAGUUAGAUUCCUGCCAUGUCCCCAAAGUCAUGGCUCAAAUCCCGGAAUAGGAUUGUACGAUUCUGUACUAGGCGGUUAGAUAGCUGUACCUUGAAUAUUCCUUACUGUAAAUAGAAAUAUACCUUAUUUAGGGGUUCUCCUAUUAUAUAAAGGGGACCCUAAUCAUUUGUAACAUCAUCUAAUCAUUGAGAAAAGAAUAUACUCUCUACAUUUUUGCCUACUGCCCAUCAGAAUUAUCCUUAGCUUUAGUGCUCUUACUUUACUUUUCUUACUUAAUUGUUCUUAUUGCUUUAAGCCCACCUCAAGGUCACUAAGCUCGAGGCCACCGCUGUCAAGCAACAUUGGUUUGAUUUGCUUUUUUCUUUCAUUUAUACUUCAUAUUUCUUGAUUAUUAAUUGGUAUUGAACUAAAUCACAUAUCUUUAAAAUAACAAAUCAAAUUUGAUUGUUACUCGUAUUUUCGAGGUAGAUAAAAAUGGAACUUUCUUACGGGCACAACUAGACAAUAGAUUAUACCUUUCAUAUUAACUAGUCCCUCCAUUUCUAUUUAAGGGAAUACCUUAUCUUCUUACUCGAUUUCAAAGAGAAUGACAAUUUUUUUUUUUAAAAAUUUAAAGAUAAAUGUUACAUAAACUUUUUGUUUUAUCCUUUAAUGAAUUUUUUUGUAUAACUUAAUGAAUUAUUUAAAAUCAUAAGUUUCAAAAGUCUUUAAAUUAUAAGUUCUAAUAUUUUUUGUUCUUUAUAGUGCUAUUUGAACAUCAUGCCCCUUUACAAGCUUAAAUUUAAGAAAAUGAUCUUUUUAGAUCUCUUAUGUGUAAAAGACAGAUCUCUUAUGUGUAAAAAUAAAUCUCUCAUGCGUAAAAAAAAGAGGUAGGGUCAUAAAAUAAAAAACAAGUUUGUAAAGAGCCAAAAAAUCAAUUGAUCUGUACUUCGUGCAUAUUAAAACUCUGUCACUUAAAUUUGAAUAAAAGGAGUAUAUUCAAAUACAGAAACAAAACCGCAUCACUGCUUUAAAAGAUUCAGGGGGUAACUAGAUUUAUGAACAAACAAAAAUAAAUGAAAUGGUAGAAUCUUAUUGUAAAACUUUAUUUACAACUACUCACACUUACUCAACCAAAUCUUAUCCAGUUGCGCCUUACAAUAUACUAAAUACCGACGAUUAUCAUACACUCAACACCACACUUACCAUUGAGGAAAUCCACAGUACAAUGAACUCGUUUAAACCCUUAAAAGCGCCAAGACCUGAUGGCCUAUAUCUCUUUUUUAUUUCAGAAGUACUGGUCCUAUAUUGCAAAUUCUAUCACAUCCUUUUGUCAUGAAGUUUUCAAUAACCAAUACCUUCCUCCAAUAGCGAACAAAAUGUAUAUGUGUCUCAUUCCAAAAAAAUUCCACCCAUCUUCAGUUACCCAAUUAGACCCAUUGCCCUUUGUAAUACACUUUAUAAAAUAAUAAUGAAAAUUAUUGUUAAUAGGAUCAAGCCUCUAUUACAAAAGCUUAUUAGUCCUGAACAAUCAGAUUUUCUAAAACAACGUCGUACUUCUGAUAAUGCAAUUAUCGUGCAGGAAAUUCUAAAUUAUUUUGGUAAAAAGAAAGGCAAACAAGCAAACUUUCUUUGAAAAUUAAAUCUUAAAAAAGCUUUUGAUCAAAUGGGUGUGCAUUCAUUAAAGAUACAUUACAUUACUUCAACUUCGCAGCCCCAUUAAUUUCACUAAUUAUGUCCUACAUCACUACCUUAUUCAUCUCCAUUUUACUAAACAGAAAACCCAUAGAAUUCUUUACACCUAUAAAAGGAAUCCGUCAAAGUGACCCACUCUCACCAUACAAUUCAUUUUAUGCAUGGAACGACUAUAUCGUCAAAUUCAUACGGCCGUAGAUUAUAAACAAUGGAUUCCAGUCCAAUUAUCCAGUUGAGGUCCAUCUAUCUCACACUUACUCUUUGUUGAUAAUAUCAUCCUGUCUUUAUGUCUCAUAACUACCAGUAUUCAUACAAUUAUCGAUGUACUUAACACAUUUACUCACAAGUCGGGACAAAAAAUAAAUUAUGCAAAGUCAAAAAUAUUCUUCUCUAAAAAUACUACUCCUCAUGAUAAACAGACCAUCCUUACUUCAUUUUGUAUGAAAGAAGGUGUCAAAUUUGUAAAAUAUCUAGGCUUCCCUCAAUUCACUCAAAGACUCAUCAAAGCUGGUUACCAAUUUAUCAUGGAUAAUAUAUUAAAACAAGGCUAGCUGGAUGAAAAAUUAAUAUGCUAAAUAUGGCAAGACGAAAAACUUUAAUUAAGUCUAAGUUAAACUCAAUUCCAACUCAUGUUAUGCAAGUUAUUAAACUUCCUCACAAUAUCAUAGAUUAUAUGGAAAGGGCCAACGAAUUUUUUUUUUUUUUUUAGAGGUACAACACAACGUAGAAGGAAACCGCACCUCGUAAAAUGGAAGACUAUACAACAAUCAAAGAAAAGGGGUGGAGGUGGGAGGUAUUCAAAACAUAACUAUGAAAAAUAAUGCUCUACUAGGUGCCUUAGCUUGGAGAUUGUUCACAUCACCAACAAUACAAUGGGCUUCUAUACUCAUCAAUAAGUAUGCAAUAAAACCAACCAACAUCAAUUUUUUAAUAUAUGAAAAGUUGUCAAAUUAGGUUGGCAAGAUUGUCAAUAAGGCCUACUAUGGCACAUUGCCACCAGACAACAUAUACAUUUUUGGACGGAGCCUUGGGUUGGGCCAAAUAUUAUACUCAAGAACAUUGUUGAUGGCCCACUACCAAACAACGAACAAAGUUCCACAUUGUGCAACAUUUGACCCAAGAUAUGGUAAACAUCAAUGCCUUACCUUUUGAGCUACCAUUAACUAUUGUAAACAAAAUGCACAAAAUUUAUAUACAACCAUUACAUAAUUCACAAGUUUAUGACCAACUCAUCUAGGGACUAACCCCUAACGGAAAAGUUACAGUGCAAUCUCUGUACUAUAAACUACAAAACACAUAGGUAGUUCAAAACUUUAAAUGGAUAUGGGCAUUACAGUUGCCACAAAAAAUUAAGUACUUUCUUUGAUAAUUGGGCACAAUCGCUUACCAACUGCUGCAUAUCUUUAUAAACUUCAUAUUAAUCCAUUCACAAUCUGCCCUAUUUGUCACAAAGAUGAGGAAAUCAUUGCCCAUUUAUUAUUCAAUUGCCUCAAGACACAACCUCUUUGGAAUAACAUGGGAAUCACAACACUCAUACAAAUAUUGGGAUAUAACGAUGACCUACCACUACACAACAUUUACACCCUCAUCUGUACUAACAAACAAAUGCCAUCUCAAAUCUCAGCCAAAAUACUCUUACCAUAGGCCUUAUGGCACAUUUGGCACUGCAGCAAUAAAAAGAUUUUUGAAAAUGUUGAAACAAUCAUUCCUUCCAACAUAUCCUAUCUCAAGAGGCAGAAUACCACUAUAUAAUUCAAAAGAAUGCUAUACAACCACAAAUUAAAAUAAUGUACAUCAAAUGGAAACCACCCACUGCAGGAGCCAUUAAACUUAAUACCGAUGGCUCCUCCACUGACACGCCUCCUAAAUAUGGGUUGGGUGGGGUCUUCCGCAAUUCAACUGGCAACUGGCUACUAGGCUAUGCUGGAAGCAAGCCAACGGAAGACCCUACUUCAAUGGAACUAUGCACUUUGCUACAAGGAUUGCACAUUGCCUAGAGACACAAAUUAAUACCACUGAAAAUCAAUGCGGACUCUAUCGAGGUAAUAUCUAUGCUACAAAACCACAACAUGCACUACUCAUCUCUACUGUUUGAAUGCAUGUACUUACUCCGCCAGCUGGGUUGACCAUGUAUUAUGCAUACAUACAUGGAGCAGAAUCGGUUCCUGAUAGGUUAGAAAUAUAUGGUGCCACUAUGGCAAUGAGAGAGAAUUUGAAUCUACUCGUCCAACCGCCAACCUUUUUGAUAAACGAAUUAAGUAAAUAUCUAAACGGCACUAUCUACCUAAGAAAAACUACUUCUGCACCACUCGCUUCUAUUUCUUUUUGUUUAGAUGCACCAUAUACGGGAUGUAAGAGCAUGGACUCUGAUAUGAAUCAGUCCAACAACUUACUUACAUCUUCUUUUUGUAACCUAGGGUAAAGCAGGCCCCAAGCUCCUUGUAAAUUUAACUGUCUUUAAUAUAAAGUUAUUUCGUCGGUUCACCAAAAAAAAAGAAUAAAAGGAAUAUAUAUAAAGAAAUGUUAUAAAUAUAUUAUAUUAUGGAUAUUCAUUUAGUACUCCGUUAUAAACAAGCUUCCUGAAGAAGCUUAUCCAUANNNNNNNNNNNNNNNNNNNNNNNNNNNNNNNNNNNNNNNNNNNNNNNNNNNNNNNNNNNNNNNNNNNNNNNNNNNNNNNNNNNNNNNNNNNNNNNNNNNNNNNNNNNNNNNNNNNNNNNNNNNNNNNNNNNNNNNNNNNNNNNNNNNNNNNNNNNNNNNNNNNNNNNNNNNNNNNNNNNNNNNNNNNNNNNNNNNNNNNNNNNNNNNNNNNNNNNNNNNNNNNNNNNNNNNNNNNNNNNNNNNNNNNNNNNNNNNNNNNNNNNNNNNNNNNNNNNNNNNNNNNNNNNNNNNNNNNNNNNNNNNNNNNNNNNNNNNNNNNNNNNNNNNNNNNNNNNNNNNNNNNNNNNNNNNNNNNNNNNNNNNNNNNNNNNNNNNNNNNNNNNNNNNNNNNNNNNNNNNNNNNNNNNNNNNNNNNNNNNNNNNNNNNNNNNNNNNNNNNNNNNNNNNNNNNNNNNNNNNNNNNNNNNNNNNNNNNNNNNNNNNNNNNNNNNNNNNNNNNNNNNNNNNNNNNNNNNNNNNNNNNNNNNNNNNNNNNNNNNNNNNNNNNNNNNNNNNNNNNNNNNNNNNNNNNNNNNNNNNNNNNNNNNNNNNNNNNNNNNNNNNNNNNNNNNNNNNNNNNNNNNNNNNNNNNNNNNNNNNNNNNNNNNNNNNNNNNNNNNNNNNNNNNNNNNNNNNNNNNNNNNNNNNNNNNNNNNNNNNNNNNNNNNNNNNNNNNNNNNNNNNNNNNNNNNNNNNNNNNNNNNNNNNNNNNNNNNNNNNNNNNNNNNNNNNNNNNNNNNNNNNNNNNNNNNNNNNNNNNNNNNNNNNNNNNNNNNNNNNNNNNNNNNNNNNNNNNNNNNNNNNNNNNNNNNNNNNNNNNNNNNNNNNNNNNNNNNNNNNNNNNNNNNNNNNNNNNNNNNNNNNNNNNNNNNNNNNNNNNNNNNNNNNNNNNNNNNNNNNNNNNNNNNNNNNNNNNNNNNNNNNNNNNNNNNNNNNNNNNNNNNNNNNNNNNNNNNNNNNNNNNNNNNNNNNNNNNNNNNNNNNNNNNNNNNNNNNNNNNNNNNNNNNNNNNNNNNNNNNNNNNNNNNNNNNNNNNNNNNNNNNNNNNNNNNNNNNNNNNNNNNNNNNNNNNNNNNNNNNNNNNNNNNNNNNNNNNNNNNNNNNNNNNNNNNNNNNNNNNNNNNNNNNNNNNNNNNNNNNNNNNNNNNNNNNNNNNNNNNNNNNNNNNNNNNNNNNNNNNNNNNNNNNNNNNNNNNNNNNNNNNNNNNNNNNNNNNNNNNNNNNNNNNNNNNNNNNNNNNNNNNNNNNNNNNNNNNNNNNNNNNNNNNNNNNNNNNNNNNNNNNNNNNNNNNNNNNNNNNNNNNNNNNNNNNNNNNNNNNNNNNNNNNNNNNNNNNNNNNNNNNNNNNNNNNNNNNNNNNNNNNNNNNNNNNNNNNNNNNNNNNNNNNNNNNNNNNNNNNNNNNNNNNNNNNNNNNNNNNNNNNNNNNNNNNNNNNNNNNNNNNNNNNNNUUGUUUUAGGUGUUUUAAGGAUUGGUAUAAGUUUGGAAAGUGGUAUUGUACUUGUUGGUGCCUUUUGUUGAGGUCCCGGGGGGCCUCGGGAUGGUUUAGGGAGGUUGUCGGAAGAAUUUGGAAUUGUUUGAGUAGCUUCAGCUUCUAGUUUUCUGUCAUAACCGCACCUGCGGUUGGGUCCCACAGGUGCGUAUUCACAGAUGUGGAAAUUGCCAUCGCAGAAGUAGAAAUGGGGAGGAACAGUAGGUGCCGUAGAAGCAGGAGAAUUUCCGCAGGAGUGGUACCUCAUCUGCGAAUGGGUAGUCGCAGGUGCGGAAACAGGCUGAGUUAGUGAUUGUCACAGAUGCGACCGUUGGUCCACAAAAGGAGGACCGCAGGUGAGCUCCCAUGACCGCAGAAGUGGUUUACCUGGGCAGAAACAUAUAAAUUCUUGCCUUCGCGAAUUUUAGCUAUUUUCACCUCUUUUCAAACGGGAAGAAGCCUUGAGGAGCACUUUCAAGGGAUAUUUUCAGAGGAGUUCAUUGGGGUAAGGUCUUUGGUCCCUAAACUCAUUAUUGGGGUGAUUUUUAUCAUUAUAAACAUGAAAAUUUAAGGAAAAUCAGUGGUAAUUUCGGGGUUAGGGCUUGACUAAUUAGAGACCUUUGAGUGAUGAUUUGAGAGACCAUUUGAGGUCCGAUGUUGGUACUUUUGGUAUGACUGAACUCGUGAGAGUGUGAGGAUUCUGGAAAUGUAAAUUUUACCUGAUUCUGAGAUAUGGGCCCGAGGGGCAUUUUGGUCAUUUUAUCUAAUUUUGCGUAUUAGCUUAGAAUUUCUUUGUAGAAUCAGUUACUUGAAGUGUUAUUUACAUUAUGACAUUGAAUUGAAUAAAUUUGGGCCAUUUGGAGUUGAGUACUCGUGGCAAGAGCGUGGUUUCAGAUUGAUUUGAGUUGGUUCGAGGUAAGUGGCUUGCCUAACCUUGUGUGGGGGACUUUCCCCUUAGGAUUUUUUAUAUUUGAUAAUUUAAAUACCUUGUACAUGAGGUUACGAGUGUGUACUUGAGCUAAUUAUUGAAAAUCCGGUUUUCUUUAAGUAAUUUCAAUUGUGUUCCUUUUCCUGUUUUAUACUACUUGCAAUUUAAGCAUGUUGUUAGCUUAGAAAAGCAUGUUUAAUUGACUAAAUUGCUUAUUUGCUUAAACUGUCUUAAUUGCAUUAUGUGGAGCACAUUAGGUUAGAAUUAUCUGUUUACUUGGUACGAAAUUUAGCUUAAUUGAGUAUUCCUUAUAUUGUUGCUGCGUGUUUUACUUUGGGACUACGGGACGGCAUCCCGGGAGAUCCCUAGCACGUAUAUUGAGGAUACCAAGAGAUCCUUGUGAUACCAAGAUAUCCCUAGCAUAUAUUGAGGAUACCGAGAGAUCCUCGGGAUACCAAGAGAUCCCUAGCAUAUAUUGAGGAUACCGAGAGAUCCUCAGGAUACCAAGAGAUCCCUGGUAUAUAUUGAGGGUACUAAGAGAUCCUCGGGAUACUGAGAGAUCCCCGGUUAUUAUUCUUAUGAAGAGUGGUAUUUCCUUGUGACUAUUUUUGCCUCUAAUUCAGUUAUUGAGUUCCUUAUUUUCAUGUAUUAAAUUCUUAUUGUUAGCUUUCAACUGUACUACUUAUCUUAUUCUGUCAUACCUUUUAUUUUUAUUAUAUCUCAAUAGGGCCCUGACCUUCCUCGUCACUACCCGAUCGAGGUUAGGCUUGGCACUUACUAAGUACCACUGUGGUGUACUUAUGCCCUUUUUGCGCAUGUUUUUCAUGUGCAGAUCUAGGUAUUUCGACCCAGUCUUAUCACCCUUGAGGCGAGGCGACUGCUCCAGAGACUUCGAGGUAUAGCUGCCGCGUCCGUACACUGAGGAAUCCCUUUCCAUUCUAUCUUGUAGUGAUAGCCCUUCUAUCUUUUCUGUUGAUGUAGACAUUCUGGAGUUAGAGCAUUUUUAUUAUAUUUGUAGCUUGUGAUUCAUGGGUUUCUGGGUUUUGGGAAAAAGUAUUAGUUUUUGAGAGCUAAUAUUGUGUAUGCUGAGCGGCACUUUUAAACGCUAUUUUAUUACUCUAUUUCUGUUUUAAAUUUUUUUCUUUCGCAAAUUGGUUUAUCUUCCGCAUUUUAGGCUUACCUAGUCGUAGAGACUAUGUGCCGUCAGAUGGUUCACGGAGGGCGAACCGGGGUCAUGACAAGUUGGUAUCAGAGCUCUAGGUUCAUAGGAGUCAUGAAUCACAAGCCAGUUUAUUAGAGUCACGCUGAUCGGUACGGAGAUAUCUGUACUUAUCUACGAGAGGCUAUGUAUCUGUUAGGAAAAUUCCACUUCAUUUGAUUUCCUUGUCAUGCGAGAUUUUGAUAUCACAAUUCUAAACUUCUAUCUUCUAUUCUUUCACAGAUGGUGAGGACACGCGCUACCCGAGAUGAUCAAGCACCCGCGCCCCCUACUGCAGCCGUCAGAGGCCGGGGUCAUAGUAGAGGGCGAGGACGCAUACGUGGUGCAGCCGGAGCACUUAUGUGAGCUGCCACCGAGGUACCACCACCAGUUCCAGCUGGAGUCCAGGCACCUGAUAUGCCUACUGCUACUACUACUCAAGCACUUCAGGAGACUCUAGCACAGUUCAUAAGCAUGUACACCACUCUAGCUCAGGCAAGGUUUCUCCCCCUUGUUGCAGCUACAUCUCAGGCCGGGGGAGGGGCACAGACUCACACCGCCUGCACUCCUGAGCAGCUAGUGCAUGUUGAGAAGGUCUUAUUCCUGUGCAGCCUGCAGUCCGAAAUUAGCUCAAGGACAAGGCAGCAGUUUUCGCGGAUUAGCAGCUGAGGCUUGAGAGGUUCAAGAAGUACAAGCCUCCUGUAUUCAGUGGUCUAGCAUCAGAUAAUGCUCUGGGAUUUCUAGAUGAGUGUUACCGCAUUCUCCAUACCAUGGGUAUAUUAGGGUCGAGCGGGGUUUCCUUCACUACUUUCUAGCUUCGAGGAGCCGCCUAUGAGUGGUGGUACACCUAUGAGUUAGACAGUCCGGAUGAGGCUGCUUCACUAACUUGGACUCAGUUUUUAGAUCUAUUCCUGAGAGAGUAUGUUCCUCAAAGCCUCAGGGAUGCAUGGCGCGUAGAGUUUGAGCAUUUGCGAUAGGGUUCUAUGACUGUCUUAGAGUAUGCUGUCUGUUACACUAGUUUGGCUAGACAUAUACCAGCCUUGGUUUCUACUGUUCGCGAGAGGGUUCGACAGUUUAUUGAGGGCCUUAUUCCCAGCAUUAGGUUUAGCAUGGAUCGUGAGUUAGAGAUGGAUAUUUCUUAUCAGCAGGUGGUGAGCAUUGCUAGGAGGAUUGAGGGUAUGCAUGCUANNNNNNNNNNNNNNNNNNNNNNNNNAGAGAGAAGAGAGGGAGGCCAAGAGGUCUCGAGAGUCGGGCCAUUAUUCUAGUGCUCGUGCCCGAGCUGCAGGUCAUCAUGGUAGGGUUUAUAUGAGUCGCCUUGUUCAUUCAGCCCUUCCAGCAGCCAGUGGUAUUUCAGCUCCUCCUAGGUCUUAGGAGUCUUAUUAUGCACCUCUGGUAUCUAGCGCGCCUCCUGUGCGGGGUGCUUUUAGAGGUCAGUCCAGCAGACCUGGCCCAAGCCAGUCACAGCCGCCACGUCUUCCUAGAGCAUGUUUUGAGUGUGGUGACCACACCAUGUGGUGAGGGAUUGUCUUAGACUUGGGAGGAGUGCGCCUCCACAGACUUCUCAGCCACAGCGCGCACCGCAGAGCUCUCAGGCUAUGGUUACAGCUCCAGUUGCUACCCUAUCUGCUCAGCUAGCUAUAGGUGGAGGUCAGGGAGGUAGAGGUCACCCUAGAGGGGGAGGUCAGACCCGAUACUAUGCUCUUCCUGCUCGUACCGAGGUUGUUGCCUCUGAUUCUGUCAUCAUAGGUAUUAUACUGGUUUGUCACAGAGAUGCAUCGGUUCUAUUUGAUCCAGGCUCCACUUACUCUUAUGUGUCUUCUUAUUUUGCUACACAUUUGGGUGUACCUUGGGAUUCUUUGAGUUCCCUUUUUAUGUUUCUACUCCUGUGGGAGAUUCUCUUGUUGUGGACCGCAUUUAUCGGUUGUGUUUGGUUACUCUUAGUGGUUUUGAGGCCAGAGCCGAUUUAUUAUUGCUUAGCAUGGAAGAUUUUGAUAUUAUCUUGGGCAUGGACUGGUUGUCGCCCCAUUAUGCUAUUCUUGAUUGUCACGCCAAAACCGUGAUGCUGGCUAUGCCAGGUGUACCACGUAUUGAGUGGAGGGGUACUUUAGAUCACACUCCCAGUAGAGUUAUUUCUUUUCUUAAAGAUCAGCGUAUGGUUGAGAAGGGGUGUGACGCAUAUUUAGCUUAUGUGUGGANNNNNNNNNNNNNNNNNNNNNNNNNGAUCUUCCAGGCAUGCCGCCUGAUAAAGAUAUUGAUUUUGGCAUUGAUCUGUUGCCAGGCACUCAACCCAUUUCUAUUCCUCCAUAUCGUAUGGCUCCUCCUGAGUUGAAGGAGUUGCAGGAUCAGUUAUAGGAAUUGCUUGAUAAGGAUUUUAUUCGGCCUAGUGUAUCACUUUGGGGUGCUCCCGUCUUGUUUGUGAAGAAAAAAGAUGGUUCUAUGCGUAUGUGUAUUGAUUAUUGUCAGAACAAGGUUACAGUGAGGAACUGUUAUCCUUUGCCUCGUAUUGAUGAUCUGUUUGACCAGCUUUAGGGCGCACGAGUGUUUUCUAAGAUUGACUUGCGCUCAGGUUACCAUCAGUUGAAGAUUUGGGAGCCCGAUAUACCAAAGACUACUUUCAGGACUUGGUAUGGUCAUUACGAGUUCCUUGUUAUGUCAUUUGGGCUAACCAAUGCCCCAGCAGCCUUUAUGCAUUUGAUGCAUAGUGUGUUCCAUCCAUAUCUUGACUCGUUUGUCAUUGUCUUUAUUGAUAAUAUUCUGGUGUAUUCCCGGAGUCGGGAAGAUCAUGAGCAUCACCUGAGGACAGUGCUUCAGACCUUGAGAGAAAAGAAGUUUUAUGCUAAGUUCUCGAAAUGUGAGUUUUGGUUGGAUUCCGUGGCAUUCUUAGGCCACAUGGUGUCGAGUGAGGGUAUUCAGGUGGAUCCGAAGAAAGUAGAGGCCAUGUAGAGUUGGCCCAGACCAUCCUCAGCUACAGAAAUUCGUAGUUUUCUCGGCUUGGCGGGUUACUGCCGUCGAUUUGUGGAGGAGUUUUCAUCGAUUGCAGCCCCUAUGACCCGACUAACCCAGAAGGGUGCUCCGUUCAAGUGAACAGAAGAGUGUGAGGCAAGCUUUCACAAGCUCAAGAUGGCUUUGAGUACAACCCCAAUUUUGAUAUUUCUUAUAGGUUCGGGGUCUUACACUGUCUAUUGUAAUGCCUCGAGGAUUGGCCUUGGAGCGAUUUUGAUGCAUGACGGUAGGGUGAUUGCCUACGCAUCCAGACAGUUGAAGGUUCACGAGAAGAAUUAUCCAGUCUACGACCUUGAGUUAGCUGCCAUUGUUCACGCCCUUAAGAUCUGGCAUCAUUAUUUGUAUGGUGUCCCUUUGAGAUUUAUACUAAUCAUCGGAGCUUGCAGCACAUGUUCAAGCAAAAGGAUCUAAAUUUGCGCUAGAGGAGAUGGUUAGAGUUACUGAAGGACUAUGAUAUCACUAUUUUGUAUCACCCGGGCAAGGCCAAUGUGGUGGCCGAUGCCUUGAGUUGCCGGGCAGAGAGUUUGGGGAGUUUGGCUUAUUUACCAGCAUCGGAGAGGCCUAUGGCGGUGGAUGUUCAGGCCUUAGCCAGCCAGUUUGUGAGAUUGGAUCUUUCGGAGCCCAGUCAGGUUCAAGCUUGCGUGGUUUCUCGAUCUUCCGUAUUUGAUCGUAUCAGGGAGCGUCAGUAUGAUGACAAUCAUUUGCUUAUCCUCAAGGACAAGGUUCAGCAUGGUGAUGCCAGAGAUGUGACCAUUAGUGAUGACGGGGUAUUGAGGAUGCAGGGUCGAAUUUGUGUACCCAAUGUUGAUGGGCUUCGGGAGUUUAUUCUGGAUGAGGCCUAUAGUUCGCGGUAUUCCAUUCAUCCAGGUGCCGUGAAGAUGUAUUAGGAUUUGAGACAGUACUACUGGUGGAGGUGGAUAAAGAAAGAUAUAGUUGGAUUUGUAGCUCGGUGCCUCAAGUGUCAGCAGGUGAAGUAUGAGCACCAGAGACAGCGUGGGUUGCUUCAGCAGAUAGAGAUCCUGGAGUAGAAGUGGGAGGAGAUCACCAUGGACUUUGUAGUUGGGAUCAUAUGGACUUUGAGAAAGUUCGAUGCUAUUUGGGUGAUUGUGGAUCAGCUGACCAAGUUCGCGCACUUCAUUCCUGAGUGUACUACCUAUUCUUCGGAGUAUCUAGCGGAGAUUUAUAUCCGGGAGAUUAUUUGUCUGCAUGGUAUUCCAGUUUCCAUCAUUUCAGACAGGGGUACUCAAUUCAUAUCACGGUUCUGAAGGGCCCUUCAGCAUGAGUUGGGUACUCGGGUGAAGUUGAGUACAAUAUUUCACCCUCAGACGGACGGACAGUCCGAGCGCACUAUUCAUAUUCUUGAGGAUAUGCUCCGUGUGUGUGUGAUUGAGUUUGGAGGGUCUUGGGAUCAGUUCUUUCCAUUGGCGGAAUUUGCCUACAACAACAACUAUCAGUUCAGAUGGCACCAUAUGAGUCUUUAUAUGGUAGGCGGUGUAGAGCCCCGGUGGGUUGGUUUGAGCCAGGCGAGGCUAGAUUAUUGGGCACAGACUUGGUUCAAGAUGCUUUGGAGAAGGUCAAGGUGAUUCAGGAUAGACUCUGUACAGCCCAAUCUCGAUAGAAAAGUUACACGGACCGGAAGGUUUAUGACAUUUCCUAUAUGGUUGGAGAGCAGGUUCUGCUUCGGGUUUCGCCUAUAAAGGACGUUAUGAGAUUUGGGAAGAACGGGAAGUUGAGUCCGAGAUUUAUUGGCCCUUUUAAGGUGUUGAGGCGUGUUGGGGAGGUUGCUUAUGAGCUUGCCUUACCUCCCAGCUUGGCAGGAGUUCAUCCAGUAAUUCAUGUUUCGAUGCUUCGUAGGUAUCACAGUGAUCCGUCACACGUGUUGGAUUUCAGUUCAGUCAAGUUUGACAAGGAUCUAUCCUAUGUUGAGGAGCUAGUGGCAAUAUUGGACAGGCAGGUUAGAAAGUUGAUGUCAAAGAACAUUGCAUCAGUGAAGGUUCAGUGGUGGGGAUAGUCGGUCGAGGAGGCGACCUAGGAGACCGAGCAGGAUAUACGCAGCUGUUACCCUCAUCUUUCACUACUUCAGGUAUGUCUCUAUGCUCAUUUGAGGAUGAACGAAUGUUUAAGUAUAGGAGGAUGUGACGACCUGACUGGUCAUCUUAAGAAUUAACGCCCCGAUCCCCUAUUAACUGCUUCCCCCGGCUUUAUUUCUGCUAUUUUGAUUCGCCGGGAUAUUCAGUUUUGAGUUUCGGAGAGUUUUGGGACACUUAGUCCCUAAAUGGGAGCAUAGGUUUGGGAAAUUUGACCAUAGUCGGAACAGUAUAAAGACGGCCUCGGAAUGGAAUUUUAAUGGUUCCGUUAUAGCUCCGUUGGGUGAUUUUGUGUUUAUGUGCAUGUUCGGAUUAUUUUUUGGAGGUCAAUAGCUAAUUUAGGCUUGAAAUGCCGAAAGUCGAAUUUUGAAGUUUCUGGUUCGAAAGUGAGAUUUUGAUCCGAGGGUCGGAAUGGAAUUCUGGAAGUUAGAGUAGCUUUGUAGUAUUGAAUGUGACGUGUGUGCAAAAUUUCAGGUCAUUCGGAUGAGGGUUGAUAGACUUUUUGAUUGAAAGCGUAUUUUAGAGUUUUGGAGUUCAUAGGCUUGAGUCCGCGGUUGAUUUCGAUGUUAUUUUAGGUGUUUUAAGGAUUGGUAUAAGUUUGGAAAGUGGUAUUGGACUUGUUGGUGCCUUUGGUUGAGGUCUUGGGAUGGUUUAGGGAGGUUGUCGGAAGAAUUUGGAAUUCUUUGAGCAGCUUCAGCUGCUAGUCUUCUAUCAUAACCACACAUGCGGUUGGGUCCCGCAGGUGCAUAGCCGCAGAAGCAGAAAUUGCCAUCGUAGAAGCAGAAAUGGGGAGGAAAAACAGGAGCCGUAGAAGCGGGAGAAUUUCCACAGGAAUGGUACCGCAUCUGCGAAUGGGUAGCGCAGGUGCGGAAACAGGCUAAGUUAGUAAUUGUCACAUAUGCGACCGUUGGUCCACAAAAGGAGGACCGCAGGUGCGCUCCCAUGACCGCAGAAGCGGUUUAGCUGGGCAGAAACAUAUAAAUUCUUGCCUUUGCGAAUUUUAGCUAUUUUCACCUCUUUUCAAACAGGACGAAGCCUUGAGGAGCAUUUUCAAGGGAGAUUUUCAGAGGAGUUCAUUGGGGUAAGGUCUUUGAUCCUUAAACUCGUUAUUGGGGUGAUUUUUAUCAUUAUAAACAUGAAAAUUUAAGGAAAAUCAGUGGUAAUUUGGGGGUUAGGGCUUGACUAAUUAGAGACCUUUGAGUGAUGAUUUGAGGGACCAUUUGAGGUCCGAUUUGGUACUUUUGGUAUGACUGAACUCGUGAGAGUGUGAGGAUUCUGGAAAUGUAAAUUUUACUUGAUUUUGAGACGUUGGACCGAGGGGCAUUUUGGUCAUUUUAACUAAUUUCGCACAUUAGCUUAGAAUUUAUUUGUAGAAUCAGUUACUUGAAGUGUUAUUUACAUUACGAAAUUGAAUUGAAUAGAUUUGGGUCAUUUGGAGUCGAGUACUCGUGGCAAGAGUGUGGUUUCGGAUUGAUUUGAGCUGGUUCAAGGUAAGUGGCUAGCCUAACCUUGUAUGGGGGACUUUUCCCUUAGGAUUUGGUAUAUUUGAUAAUUGAAAUGCCUUGUUCGUGAGGUUACUAGUGCGUAUUUGAGCUAAUUGUUGAAAAUCCGAUUUUCUUUAAGUAAUUUUAAUUGUGCUCCUUUUCCUGUUUUAUACUACUUGCAAUUUAAGCCUGUUGUUAGCUUAGAAAAGCAUGUUAAUUGACUAAAUUGCUUAUUUGCUUAAAAUGUCUUAAUUGCAUUAUGUGGAGCAUGUUAGGUUAGAUUUAUUUGUUUACUUGGUAAGAAAUUGAGCUUAAUUGAGUAUUCCUUGUGUUGUUGUUGUGUGUUUUACUUUGGGACUAUAGGACGGCAUCCCGGGAGAUCCCUAGCACGUAUAUUGAGGAUACCAAGUGAUCCUCGGGAUAUCAAGAGAUCCCUAGCAUAUAUUGAGGAUAUCGAGAGAUCCUCGGGAUACCAAGAGAUCCCUAGAAUAUAUUGAGGAUACCGAGAGAUCCUCGGGAUACUAAGAGAUCCCCGAUAUAUAUUUAGGGUACUAAGAGAUCCCCGGUUAUUAUCCUUGUGAAGAGUGGUAUUUCCUUAUGACUGUUUUUGCCUCUGUUUCAGUUAUUGAGUUACUUAUUUUCCUAUAUUAAAUUCUUAUUGUUAGCUUUCAACUGUACUGCUUAUCUUAUUCUGUCAUACCUUAUAUUUUUAUUCUAUCUUAGUAGGGCCCUGACCUUCCUCGUCACUACCCGACCGAGGUUAGGCUGGCACUUACUGAGUACCGUUGUGGUGUACUCAUGCCGUUUCUGCGCAUGUUUUUCAUGUGUAGAUCCAGGUACUUCGACCCAGUCCUAUCACCCUUGAGGCGAGGCGACUGCUCCAGAAACUUCGAGGUAUAUCUGCCGCGUCCGUAGACCGAGGAGUCCCUUUCCAUUCUAUCUUGUCGUGAUAGCCCUUCUAUCUUUUCUGUUGAUGUAGACAUUCCGCAGUUAGAGCAUAUUUAUUAUAUUCGUAGCUUGUGAUUCAUGGAUUUUCGGGUUUUGCAAAAAAUCAUUAGUAUUUGAGAGUUAAUAUUGUGUAUGCCGAGCGACACUUUUAAACGUUGUUUUAUUACUCUAUUUCUGUUUUAAAUUAUUUUCUUCCUCAAAUUGGUUUAUCUUCCACAUUUUAGGCUUAUCUAGUCGUAGAGACUAGGUGCCAUCAUGAUGGUUCACGGAGGGCGAACCGGGGUCGUGACACUACAACAGCAAUAUCGAGAGAUGAGAUUUAAAAAGUAUUCUGAACUUAUCUCACAUCUUCUUAUAGCCGAGCAACAUAAUGGGCUAUUAAUGAAAAAUCAUGAAAACCGACCUAUUGGUUCUUGUCCAUUCCUUGAAGUGAAUGAGACGAACUUCCACCAAGCUAGACGUGGAAGGGGCCGUGGCCCCAGUCGUGGUCAUGGCCGUGGUCGAGGAAGAAAUUUUAAUCAUGGUAAUAAUAAUGCACCAAAGAACCCUCCUCACCACCAGCAGUGGAAAAGGAAGGAACAGAAGCAUGAAGCGGUGCAAGCACCAAAUGCAGAAAAUGCAUGCUAUAGAUGUGGAGGAAAAGGGCACUGGUCAUGUACCUGUCGUACGCCAAAGCACCUGGUUGAGCUUUAUCAAGCCUCCUUGAAGAAGACAGAGAAAAAUGCUGAAGCAAAUUUUAUUUCUGAAGAUAAUUUAGACUUCAUGCAUUUGGAUGUAGCUGAUUACCUUGCACUCCCAGUAGGAGAAACAAGUCAUGUAAUCGGUGGUGAAUCUGUAAAAAUGUAAAUAUUUUAAUUUUUGUUGUUUGUAAUAGAUAGUAUGGUUAUGUAAUUGUUGUACAUAAAGAAAAAUUAUGAUCUGAUAAUGAUGUUUACUAUAAUAUAUCUUAUUUAUGUCAUUUUGAAGAAUAUGGAUAACAUUAUUAGAUCAACUUAAAUUCUAGCAGAGUUUGCAGGAAAUAUACAACCACCAGAAGUGGUUAUAUUUCGUAUAUCUCAUUUAAAAUUCUGGUUUACUAUGGCAUAAACUUUUGCAUUAGUAAACUUCUAAUUUACCGUGACUGCUUUUGUAUUAGUAAACUUCUGAUUUACUGUGAUACAUGAUAUAAUAUAAAAAUUGAAGAAUAAGGCGGGUAACUUCUCACAUACAUAUUAUUUUACCUCCUACGAUUGUGGAAACAUGAAGAUUUUCAAUCUUUCAGUCAUUUGUAGUCUCAAUAUGACAACCAUUUGUAUUAGUAAACUUCAGGUUUAAUACAACAUAUAUUUUGACCAUAAUCAUAUAAUAUAAAUGACAUAUUUGUGUAUAAGAUCUUCGAGAGCCUUCAUUUAUUAUCCACAAUCUAAUAUUUAUCGGACACUACUGGUGUCAUGUGUCUUCUAGGCAAAUAGUUAGCUCUUCAGGAGUUGUUGAUACAUUUUGUACUAUCAAAUAUUGCUCAUACACUUCUGGUAUCAUAAGAGAAAAUCACAAUCAAAUAAACAAUGUAAAACAAUUGUUUAAGCAUGAGAAACUCUUCUUCAUAAUAUUCUCCUACUUCAGGAAGCAAUUUCAAUUGUGUUACUUCUUCAGGAGUAAAUUCAAAAUACGAAAUAUUGAAUAUAUAUUCUCUUAAUUAUAUUACCUCUUUGGAGGUGAAUUGUAAUAUAUUCACAUCAAGAGCGUGUUCAUAUUUACCAGAUUUAUUAAUAUUGCCACAUUCACUUCAGGGAAUGGAUUAAUAAUAUCAAAAGUUCUCAUUCUUCAGGAAAUCGAACAUAAUUAUCUGAAUGCGCAUUAAUCACAUCAAAUUGUGAUGCCUCAACAUAUUAAAAUAUUUACUACUUCAGGAGUAAAUCGAGGCAUGCAUUUAAUAUAGAGAAUAUUUAUGUAGGUUAUCUUCAAUUGUAACCAUAGAAAGCCUAAAUUAUCACUUCUGGUGAUCAUAGACAUAUACCACUUCUGGUGGUUAACAAAAUAUAAUUUACUAAGAGAUAGCACAUGCCAUGAUAAACUUGAAGUUUUCAUUUGCCAUUUUUGAAUGAGCUAUUCAAGAAUUCAGAUAAGCAUAUAUUGAAGAACUAUAAGAUUCUUCAAGAAUUCUCCUAUGUUGCUUGUUCUCAUAAUAAAUUGAUUAUACCAACUAAAGUUGGGACUAAGACCCCUGAUACUGAAAUAUAUAAAAGGUGAAUAUGGGCCCAUUCACAUAUCAUGUGAACCACUUAUAGAUGCAUAUAUAAGAUGGUUACAUCUAUGUUUAUUGUCAACCUGCAAUUUGGCAUUUUAGAUUACUUUUCUCAGUUAAGAGCAUAACUUUCAGAUUAUGAAAUCAAGACAGUUCAUCUUGAUAGUGUUGGUUUAUAUCCAAGCUGGUUUAACAUUGAAUACCUCCUACUAAUGGCUAAACUAUUGCUUAUGAGAACAAAACAUCAUGUGUUGGUCUAAGAUAUUCUAAAUUGCAUACAGCAACACUUGUAUGCAUCAGACCAACAAUAUAUGAAAAAGUCCUCCCUUCACAAUUGGUUUAGGAUCAGAAAUCAAAUAUUUUUACUAUCUUUUGAUGUGGGGUAUAUGAUUAAUUUCUCUACCACAAUACACAAAGAUAUGUUUCCCAAAGAAGAUUGAGGAUAUAUGUUAAUUUUUCUAAAAUUUGGGGGAUGGAAUAAACAGCUGAAAAAUAUGAUCGAUUUAUCAUUAAUAUGAUCCUCACUUAGAAGAUAAUUCAAGACAAAUGCCUGAAGCAUUUGCUGAUCCAAAAUUGUCACGACCCUAAACCUGAACCUAGUCGUGAUGGAGCCUCUCCUGAAGAUAAGGCCAGCCAAUUAAACACAAUUCACUUUUAAACAGUUAAAUAACAUAAAAGCAGCCUAAAACAUGAUAUAGCAAUACUAAGUAGCGGAUAGUGUCAAUAAAGUGCGGAAGUACAACCCAACACAACCCUAACCGGGGUGUCACUAGUCAUGAGCAUCUAUAAAACCCAAUACAAGUUUGAAAGGUCUACAACUAGUACAAAAGUCUGAUAUGAGAUAGAAAUAAUAAGGAGGGAAAAACACGGGUCUGUGGACGUCAAGCAGCUACCUCGUGAACUCUGAAUGUCCGCUGGGAGCUCUCAACUCACACUGGCAGGAUCAGCAACGCCUGAAUCUGCAUACAGGGGUGCAAGGAGUAAAGUGAGUACUCCAACUCAGUGAGUAACAAAUGUAAAUAAUGACUGAAAGUAAGAAAACACGUAAGGCACAAGACAUUCUAUAAUGAAGUAGUGAAAACAUUUAAAAGCAGUAAGACAGUGAAAAGUCAAGUAAAAUCUUAUUUCAACAAGUAAACAAGUAAUUGACAGGCAAUUAAGGUAAAGUAAACAAAUAGAAGUUCGCCUCUCGGGCACAGUAUCAAAAAAUCCGCCCUUCGAGCAACAUCUCCGAACAAUACCAGCCCCUCGGGCUCAAUCUCACAUCACAAUGGGUAACGGCGCUCACUGGGGGUGUGCAGAUUCCUGGAGGGGCCCCUUACGGUCCAAGCGCAACAUCAAACCAUCUCGUGGCAUCAAAUCUAGGCCCUCGGCCUCAUAUCAAUCAAUCCACCUCGUGGCGUAUAUAUCUCAGGCCCUCGGCCUCAAAUCAGUAUCAGUGUUUCCUCUCAACUAGGCCCUCGGUCUUACUCAGUCAAAAAUACUCACAAGCCCCUCGGGCACUAGUAAAAUAGUGUUUCUCAACCCAAACAAUAUUUAAAAUAUCAUUUAAGUCUUAAAACUAAGUAAACAUGGCUGGGUAUGAAAAAUAGUGAAAAAAUAACAUGACUGAGUUCAAGUAUAAAGUCAAAACAGUGAGGAAAUAUCAAUAAAAAUCCCCGAAGGGUUCAAAUAGUUGGCACUAGGCCCAAAUAUGGCAUUCAACCUAGAUAAUGAUGAUAGCAAAUUGUUUUCAAUCAAAUACGCGGUAAAAUCAUCAAUCGAGACGAACCAAGUCACAAUCCCCAAUAGUGCACGACCCCACGCUCUUCAUCAAGUGUGUUCCUCACCUCAAUAUAGCACUACGAUGUGCAAAUUCGGGGUUUCAAACACUCAGAACAUCAUUUACAAUCAUUACUCACCUCAAACCAGCUAAAUCUCUAGCUCGCGACGCCUUUGCCCCUUGAAUCGGCCUCCACGUGCGUCGAAUCUAUCCAAAAUCAGAACGAGUGCGUCAACAUAUGCUAAGGAAACAAAGCCCAAGCGAAAACAAUCAACAAAGGGCACAAAUCCCGAAAUUACCAAAACCCGACCCCCAAGCCCACUUCUCGAAAUUUGAAAAUUUUCAUGUCAAUAGGUUCCUUAUCUCCCCACGAGUUCAUACAUAUCAAAAGUUCUCAAAUCCGAUCCCAAAUGGUCCUUCAAAACCACAAUUUAAGGCCUAAGUUCUCAAGCCCUAGUUUCCCCAAUUUUAACCUUUUAUUUCCAUAAUUUCUAGCCCUAAUCCAUGAAAUAAUAGAAUAGGAACGGGUUUUUGGUCCAAAUUCCUUACCUCAAUGAAGUUCUCUUGAAAUCCCCCUCUCAAAUCGCCCAAGAAGCUCCCAAGCCGAAGUCAAAAAUGGUGAAAAAACCCAAAAUUUACGAAGGACUCUUUUUAAUUCUUCUGCCCAGUUGUUCCGCAUCUGCGGCCAAAUCGCCGCUUCUGCGGUACCGCAUUUGCGGCAAAUCCUCUGCUUCUGCAGAAUUCACUUAAGAGCCCAAAAGUCGCAUCUGCGAUACACCUUCCGUAUCUGCGACUUCGCGAUGCGGCCAUCCUGACCGCUUCUGCGGUCCCUGACAAAUCCUCCUAGUCCGCUUCUGCGGCCACUCCAACGCAUAAGCGGCGCCGCACCUGCGGUCCCCAAACCGCAGGUGUGAAAACACCAGAAGCAGCAAAACUUCAACAACUGCAAUAACAUCUCAACUCCUCCGUAAACCAUCCAAAAUCACCACGAGCUCCCCGGGACUUCAACCAAAAGCACAAACAUAUCCUAAUACCUUAUUCAAACUUGUUCCAAUCAUCAAAACAUCUCAAACAACAUCAAAUCACCCAAAACACAUCGGAUUAAAGCCUAAGUUUCAAAAUCUUCUGAAAUACGCUUUUGAUCAAAAACCCAACCAAACCACGUCUGAAUGACCUAAAAUUUUACACACAUCCCAAAUGACACGACAGAGCUAUUGUAACUCUCAAAAUCCCAUUCUGACCCCUUUAUCAAAAUCUCGCCUACCAACCGAAAAUUGCCAAAAUAUUAACUUCGCCAAUUCAAGCCUAAAGCUACUCCAACCCUCCAAAACUCAUUCUGAUCAUGCUCCUAAGCCAUAAAUCUCCUAUCAAAGCUAAUCGAACCAUCAGAACUUACAUCCGAGUCCUCUAACACAUAAGUCAACAUCCGGUUGACUUUUCCAACUCAAACUCCCUUACAAGAGACUAAGUGUCUCAAACCUUACCAAAAUCAUUCCGAAUUCGAUCCGACCAACCCAAUACCAUAAAACAUGAAUAACCAGGCAUAAAGAAGUAGAAAUGGGGGAAACAGAGCAGUAACUCAUGAGAAGACUGGUCUGGUCAUCACAUCCUCCCCAAUUUAAACAAACGUUUGUCCGCGAAUGAAUCAAUAAACAUACCUGAAGCCUUAAACAGGUGAGGAUAUCUGCUCCUCAUCUCCCGCUCGGUCUCCCAGGUAGCCUCCUCCAUGGGCUGACCUCUCCACUGCACCUUCACUGAAGCUAUAUCCUUUGAUCUCAACUUUCGAACCUGUCGACCCAAAAUAGCUACUGGCUCCACAUCAAAGGUCAAAUCAUCAUCCAACUGAACCGUGCUGAAAUCCAGAACAUGGGACGGAUCCCCAAUAUACUUCCUGAGCAUAGAAACAUGAAAUACCGGAUGUAUACUCGACAGGCUGGGUGGCAAAUCAAGAUCAUACGCCACCUCCCCAAUCCUCCGAAGCACCUCAAAAGGCCCAAUGAACCGAUGACUCAAUUUCCCUUUCUUUCCAAACCUCAUAACACCCUUCAUAGGUGAAACUUUCAACAGUACUUUCUCGCCAACCAUGUAGGACACAUCUCAGACCUUUCUAUCAGUAUAACUUUUUUGUCUCGAUUGCGCUGUACGAAGCCUCUCCUGAAUCACCUUUACCUUCUCCAAAGCAUCUUGCACCAAAUCAGUCCCCAAUAGCCAAGCCCCACUGGGCUCGAACCAACCAACUGAAGACCUACACCGCCUCCCAUACAAAGCCUCAUAUGGAGCCAUCUGAAUACUCGACUGGUAGCGGUUGUUAAAAGCAAACUCUGCAAAUGGUCGAAACUGAUCCCAUGAGCCUCCGAAAUCAAUGACACAAGCACGUAACAUGUCCUCCAAUACCUGAAUAGUACGCUCGAACUGCCCGCCCGUCUAAGGAUGAAAAGCUGUGCUGAACUCCACCUGAGUACCCAACUCUCUCUGCACGGCCCUCCAAAACUGCGAAGUAAACUGAGUACCUCUCUCUGAAAUGAUGGAAACUGGGACACCAUGCAAGCGAAUGAUCUCUCGAAUAUAUAUCCCUGCCAACCGCUCUGAAGAAUAGGUAGUACACACAGGAAUGAAGUGCGCGGACUUGGUCAGCCGAUGCACAAUCACCUAUAUGGCAUCGAACUUUUUCAAAGUCCGUGAAAGUCCAACAACAAAGUCCAUAGUGAUCCUCUCCCACUUCCACUCAGGAAUAUCCAUCUGUUGAAGCAAGCCACCCGGUCUCUGAUGCUCAUAUUUUACCUGUUGGCAAUUGAGACACCGAGCUACGAAUCCCACAAUAUCUUUUUUCAUUCUCCGCCACCAAUAGUGUUUCCUCAAAUCCUGAUACAUCUUUGCGGCACCUAGAUGAAUGGAAUACCGCAAGUUAUGGGCCUCCUCCAGAAUCAACUCCCGAAGUCCAUCCACAUUGGGCACACAAAUCCGGCCCUGCAUCUUCAACACCCCAUCAUCUCCAAUGGUCACAUCUCUAGCAUCAUCAUACUGAACUCUCUCCUUAAGGACAAGCAAAUGCGGAUCAUCAUACUGGCGCUAUCAUAUAAAGAAGACCGAGAGACCACACAAGCCAAUACCCGACAUGGCUCUGAAAUAUCUAACCUCACGAACCGAUUAGCCAAGGCCUAAACAUCAACUGCAAGAGGUCUUUCCCCAACCAGAACAUAUGCCAAACUUCCCAUACUCACUGCCUUCCGGCUCAAAGCAUCGGCCACCACAUUGGCCUUUCUCGGAUGGUACAAUAUAAUGAUAUCAUAAUCCUUAAGCAACUCCAACCAUCUCCGCUGCCUCAAAUUAAGAUCCUUUUGCUUGAACAAAUGCUGAAGACUGCGAUGAUUAGUGAAAAUCUCACAAGAUACGCCAUAUAAGUAAUGCCUCCAAAUCUUCAAUGUGUGAACAAUGGCAGCCAACUCCAAAUCGUGAACGGGGUAGUUCUUCUCAUGGGGCUUCAAUUGACGAGAAACAUAAGCAAUAACUCUACCCUCAUGCAUCAAUACACAACCAAUCCCAACUCUCGAAGCAUAACAAUACACCGUAUAUGAAUCUGAAGCUGAUGGCAAAACCAACACUGGAGUUGUUGUCAAAGUUGUCUUGAGCUUCUGAAAGCUCUCCUCACACUUGUCCGACCAUACAAAUGAGGCACCCUUCUAAGUCAACUUGGUUAAGGUCAAUGCGAUAGAUGAGAAUCCCUGAUCAAACCGGCAAUAAUAGCCUGCCAAACCAAGAAAGCUACGAAUCUCAAUGGCUAAGAAUGGUCUAGGCCAACUCUGAACCGCCUAUAUCUUCUUCGGAUCAACCUGAAUACCCUCACUGGAUACCACGUGCCCCAAGAAAGCCACUAAACUGAGUCAAAACUCACACUUGGAGAAUUUUGCAUAAAGCUUCUCCUCCCUCAAUCUCUGCAACUCAAACCUCAAAUGCUCUGUGUGCUCCUCCUAACUAUGUGAAUACACCAGAAUAUCAUCAAUGAAGACUAUGACAAACGAAUCGAGAUAAAUCUGGAACACGAUGUUCAUCAAAUGCAUGAACGUUACUGGGGCAUUGGUCAGCCCAAAAGACAUCACCAAGAACUCAUAAUGACCAUAACGGGUCCAGAAAGCCGUCUUAAGAAUAUUCGAGUCCCUGAUCUUCAACUAGUGAUAGCCUAAACGGAGAUCAAUCUUGGAGAACACCCUCGCUCCCUAUGGUCAAAUAAAUCAUCAAUGCGAGGCAAAGGGUACUUGUUCUUAAUUGUUAUUGUUCAAUUGCCUAUAAUCAAUGCACAUCCUCAUUGUGUCAUCCUACUAUUGCCUAUAAUCAAUGCACAUCCUCAUUGUGCCAUCCUACUUCUUCACAAAUAGAACCGGCGCACCCCAAGGUGACGCACUAGGCCGAAUAAACCCCUUAUCUAGGAGUUCCUGAAGCUGCUUCUUGAAUUCUUUCAACUCCGCCGGUGCCAUAAAAUACAGCGAAAUAGAAAUGGGCUGAGUGUCCUGCACCAGGUCAAUACCAAAAUCAAUAUCCCUGUCUGGGGGCAUGCCCGACAGGUCUGCAGGAAACACAUCGGAAAAAUCCCUCACAACUGGGAUAGAAUCAGUACUGGGAGCCUCAACUCCGACAUCCCUCACAAACGCUAGAUGUGAAAGACAACCCUUCCCAACCAUAUGUUGGGCUUUCAAGAAUGAGAUCACUCUAAUGGCAACAUAAUUAGUCACACCUCACCACUCAAUCUGUGGCACACCCGGCAUAGCCAAUAUGAUUGUCUUAGCAUGACAGUCCAGAAUAGCACUACACGGAGAUAACCAAUCCAUGCCCAAAAUGAUAUCAAAAUCCACUAUGCUCAAUAGUAAUAAAUCCACUCAGGUCUCCAGACCCCCAAUAGUCACCAUACACAACCGGUACAUAGGGUCUACAACAACAGUAUCGCCCACCGAGGUAGAUACAUGAACAAGUAAAGCAAGAAACUCACGGGGCGUACCCAAAUAACAAGCAAAGUAUGAUGACACAUAAGAAAAGGUGGAACCAGGAUCAAAUAAUACAGAGGUAUCUCUGUGACAGACUGAGACAAUACCUGUAAUGACAGCAUCUGAAGCAAUAGCAUCGGGUCUGCCUGGGAGUGCAUAGAAACAGGCCUGACCGCCCCUGAUCGACAUCCCCCUAUGGGGUGACCCCUAAAUGACUGACCUCCACCCCUAUCUGGCAGAGCGGGUGGUGAUGAAGCAACUGGCGCUAAAGCCGAUAACUGACCCCUCUGCUGGGAUGAACUAGCAAAACAAUGAGGACACUACCUCCAUAUGUGACCCAUCUCACCACACUCAUAACAACUCCCAGGUGCUGGAGAAAGGGGAUUGAAGGAACCCCUCACACCGGAGUGACUAGCAGAUGCACUCGGCAUAGAAGAUCCCUGGACUGAUGGAGCACGGGUCGAACUCUAAGCAGGAAGGGCACUAAGUAAAGACUGGCCCUGCUGAGAACUGUGAUAACCAUGACCCGAAGACGCCCCACGAUAACCUAGGCAAGCUGGCUGAGCAGGCCUGAAUGGACGGCCUCUACUAUGCUAAAACUGGCCCCUCAAAGGAGCACCACUAUAGCUGCCAGAUCCUUACGGCCUCUUUGUCUCCCUCUCCUCUCGCUCCUGACAACGAGUAGACUCAAUCUCAUGUGCAAUAUUCACAACCUCCUCGAAAGUAGCACCAGAUACCCUCUCCCUAGUUAUAAGAAUACGGAGCUGAUAAGUAAGACCAUCAACAAACCUCCUGAUCCUUACUCUAUCUGUCGGGACCAACCAAAUGGCAUGACGAUCCAACUUAGAAAACCUCAACUCAUACUACGACACAGUCAUCUCCCCCUAACGCAACCACUCAAGCUGCUUGUGCAGCUCCUCUCUGCGAGACUUCGGCUCAUACUUCUCCAGAAAGAGAACGGAGAACUGCUGCUAGGUAAGGGGUGCUGCACCAACAGGCCUACACCUCUCAAAAUCCUCGCACCAAGUGAAAGUAGCUCAUGAAAAGUGAUAAGUGGUAAAAGCGACCCCGCUGGUCUCCAGAAUACCUGUUGUACGAAGCAUCCUCUGACACAUGACCAGAAAACCCUAGGCAUCCUCGCCCUCUGCACCACUGAAUGACGGAGGUUGUAGUCUACCAAACCUCUCCAACCACACUGCUUGUCCUCCGGCAUGGAAGGAACUACAUAGUCCUGAGCAGCUGCAACCGGCUGGGCUGGAUGCGCCCCCGGUGUCUAAAGUCCCUGUACGACCUGCUCAGGUGUGCGAGCGGCGGGAGUCUGAUUACCUCCCCUGGCCUGAGAAGUAGCUGCGGCUGUAGCGGCUAAAACCGCCUGAGCCAGGCCAGUGCAAACGGAUAAGAUCUGUGACAAGGCCUCUUGAAGACCCGGAAUCACGAUGGGCACAACUGGUGCCUGAACUGGUGCUGCUGGAGCAUCUUUAGCUGAAGUCUGAUCCUGAGCUAGGGCAGCUGAUGGAUCUACAAGUGAUGCCCUCUCUGCUCUGCCUCUACCACGAUCACGACCACAUCCUCGGCCUUUGGUGUCCACAACUGGUGGUACUGGGGGUCGUCUACCUCGACCAGUAGCACGUGUCCUCACCAUUUGUGAGAGAAUAGAAUAACAGAAGUUUAGUACUUAGAUCAACAAGUUCGCACGACAAGAAUUUCAAGGAUAUGAAGUUUUUCCUAAAGGUUCUGCAGCCUCUCGAAGAUAAAUACAGAUGUCUCUGUACCGAUCCGUGAGACUCUACUAAACAUGCUCACGACUCGUGAGACCUAUGUAACCUAGGUUUUGAUACUAACUUGUCACGACCCUAAACCCGAACCCGAUCGUGAUGGCGCCUCUUGUGAAGUCAAGGCCAGCCAAUUAAACCCAAUUAACUUUUUAAACAGUUAAAUAACAUGAAAGCAGUCUAAAACAUGAUAUAUCAAUACUAAGUAGUGGAUAGUGUCAAUAAAGUGCGGAGGUAUAACAUAACACAGCCCUAACCGGGGUGUCACUAGUCAUGAGCAUCUAUAAAACCCAAUACAAGUCUGAAAGGUCUACAACUUGUACAAAAGUCUGAUAUGAGAUAGAAAUGAUAAGGAGGGAGAAACACAGGUCUGCGGACGUCAAACAGCUACCUCGUGAACUCCGAAUGUCUGCUGGGAGCUCUCAACUCGCACUGGCAAGAUCAACAACGCCUGAAUCUGCACACAGGAGUGCAGGGAGUAAAGUGAGUACUCCAACUAAGUGAGUAACAAAUGUAAAUAACGUCUGAAAGUAAGAAAACAUAUAAGGCACAAGACAUUCUAUAAUGAAGCAGUGAAACCAUUUAAAAAUAGUAAGACAGUAAAAAGUCAAGUAAAAUCCUAUUUCAACAAGUAAAUAAGUAAUUGACAGGCAAUUAAGGCAAAAUAAACAAAUAGAAGUUCGCCUCUUGGGCAUAGUAUCAACAAAUCUGCCCAUCGGGCAACAACUCAGAACAAUACCAGCCCCUCAGGCUCAAUCUCACAUCACAAUGGGUACCCGCGCUCACUUGGGGUGUGCAGACUCUUGGAGGGGCCCCUUACGGCCCAAGUGCAAUAUCAAGCCAUCUCGUGGCAUCAAAUCUAGGCCAUCGGCCUCAUAUCAAUCAAGCCACCUCGUGGCGUAUAUAUCUCAGGCCCUCGGCCUCUGAUCAGUAUCAGUGUUUCCUCACAACUAGGCCCUUGGCCUUACUCAGUCAAAAAUACUCACAAGCCCCACGGGCAAUAGUAAAACAAUGUUUCUCAGCCCAAACAUCAUUUAAAAUAUCAUUUAAGUCUUAAAACUGAGUAAACAUGGCUAAGUAUGAAAAAUAGUGGAAAAAUAAUAUGACUGAGUUCAAGUAUAAAGUCAAAACAGUGAGGAAAUAUCAAUAAAAAUCCCCGAAGGGUUCAAAUAGUUGGCAUUAGGCCCAAAUAUGGCAUUUACCCAAAUAAUGAUGAUAGCAAAUAGUUUUCAAUCAAAUACGUGGUAAAAUCAUCAAUCGGGACGGACCAAGUCACAAUCCCCAAUAGUGCACGACCCCACGCUCGUCAUCAAGAGUGUGCCUCACCUCAAUAUAACACUAUAAUGUGCAAAUCCGGGGUUUCAAACCCUCAGAACAUCAUUUACAAUUAUUACUCACCUUGAACUGGCUAAAUCUCUAGCUCGCGACGCCNNNNNNNNNNNNNNNNNNNNNNNNNNNNNNNNNNNNNNNNNNNNNNNNNNNNNNNNNNNNNNNNNNNNNNNNNNNNNNNNNNNNNNNNNNNNNNNNNNNNNNNNNNNNNNNNNNNNNNNNNNNNNNNNNNNNNNNNNNNNNNNNNNNNNNNNNNNNNNNNNNNNNNNNNNNNNNNNNNNNNNNNNNNNNNNNNNNNNNNNNNNNNNNNNNNNNNNNNNNNNNNNNNNNNNNNNNNNNNNNNNNNNNNNNNNNNNNNNNNNNNNNNNNNNNNNNNNNNNNNNNNNNNNNNNNNNNNNNNNNNNNNNNNNNNNNNNNNNNNNNNNNNNNNNNNNNNNNNNNNNNNNNNNNNNNNNNNNNNNNNNNNNNNNNNNNNNNNNNNNNNNNNNNNNNNNNNNNNNNNNNNNNNNNNNNNNNNNNNNNNNNNNNNNNNNNNNNNNNNNNNNNNNNNNNNNNNNNNNNNNCACAUCAGAUUCAAGCCUAGGUUUCAAAAAUCUUUCGAAAUAUGCUUUUGAUCAAAAACCCAACCAAACCAUGUCCAAAUGACCUGAAAUUUUACACACACAUCCCAAAUGACACGCCGGAAUCUCAUUCCGAUCCCUAUAUCAAAAUCUCGCCUACCAACCGGAAAAUGCCAAAAUAUCAACUUCGCCAAUUCAAGCCUAAAGCUACUCCAACCCUCCAAAACCUAUUCCGAUCACGCUCUUAAGCCAUAAAUCACCUCCCAAAGCUAACCGAACCAUCAGAACUCGCAUUCGAGCCCUCUAACACAUAAGUCAACAUCCGGUUGUCUUUUCCAACUCAAACUCUCUUACAAGAGACUAAGUGUCUCAAACCUUACCAAAUCAUUCCGGAUUCGAUCCGACCAACCCGAUACCAUAAAACUCGGAUAAUGAAGCAUAAAAAAGUAGAAAUGGGGGAAACAAAGCGGUAAUUCAUGAGACGACUGGCCGGGUCGUCACAAAAAUUUAAUAUCAUAUUUCAGCUGCAAAUGCUCCUAUUAAAAUUAAAGUCCCUAAAGGAUAAAGUUUGUUGUACGCAUGGAGCGCAGUAGACCAAUCGGUUCCAAAGGUAACAAUACUUGAAAAAUGGUAGGAACUAAUGAUCAAAAUGAUCAUAAUGAGGAGGAAAUAAGCUCUAGAAGAGCCCACGACAUAACAUUUCAUGAUACUCCCGAAGAAGUUCAGGUACCUGAAAAUAAAGAAAGUGAUGAGAUCUCAACAAGUUAUGUCGCUUAGGAACUGACACAAAAUGAUCAUCGAUGAUAUAUUUGAUACAAUAUAGUGCAUAAUAUUGUAAAAGAUUGUGAGGAUCGGACCAGCAGUCCAGACACUUGAAGAUGUCAUACCAUUUAGAUACAAGUCUUAACCUAUAUGACUUAUUUGAUUAAAUCUAUAUGAAGAUACUUGAAGGAUUGAAAAUGCCUGAAGCAUAUAAUUUAAAGUCUUGAGAAAAUGUACUCGAAUCAAAUUAUAAAAUCUUUGUACGGUUUAAAGCAAUCAGUGCGCGUGUGGUAUAAUUGCCUCAGUAAAUAUUUAGUGAAAAAAAAAUUACAUAAAUGAUGUUAUUUGUCCAUGUAUUUUUAUAAAGAAAAUGUCAUCAGAAUUUGUUAUACUUUCUGUUUAUGUUAAUGACAUAAAAUUUGUUGGAACUCUAGAAGAGCUCCGAAAGGCAGUUGAAUAUCUUAAGAAAGAAUUUGAGAUGAAAGAUCUUGGAAAAAUAAAAAUUUGUCUUUGGUCUGCAAAUUGAAUAUUUAGCAGACGAGAUCUUUAUCUGUCAAUUCGCCUAUACAGAAAGGGUCUUUAAAUGAAUUUUCAUGGACAAAGCGCACCCAUUAAGUACAUCAAUGAGUGUUCGAUCACUUGAAGUGAAUAAGGAUUUGUUCCGACCUCCAGAAGAGGAUGAUGAACUCCUUGGUCCUGAAAUACUCUAUCUCAGUGUAAUUUUUAUGCAUUUAUAGGUGGUGCAGAUCAUAUUGGUUAUGCAGAUACAAGAUUAGAAUGCGGAGACUUAAAUAUUUGAAACAAGGUUUUCAUCACGGGAGUAAAAUACGCGGUGCACUCUUUUUUUCUUACUAAGGUUUUUUCCCGCAGGGUUUUCCUUAUAAGAUUUUUAAUAAGGCACCUAGCAAUGCGUAUUACUAAAUAUGUGUACUCUUUUUCCUUCACUAGAAUUUUUUCCCCACGUUUUCUCCUAGUAAGGUUUUAAUUAGGCACAUUAUCUUUUAAUGAACAUCCAAGAGAGAGUGUUAUUAAUAUAUUAUAUUAUGGAUGUUCAUUUAGUGCUCUGUUGUAAAUAAGCUUCCUGAAGAAGCUUAUCCAUAUGGGACUUCGCCGUAAAUAUAGUUAUCUAUUUAGUACUCUAUUGGAAAUAAGCCUUCUGAAGAAGCUUAUCACUUCGGUACUCGGUUAUGGAUAAACAUUACCCCCGGUAGAAGAUUAUCCAUAUCGGGUAUAAUAAGCUUAUCCUUUCGAUACUCUGUUAUGGAUAAACAUUAUGUCACGCCCCGAACUUGGGGGAGCGAGACCGGCACCCAGUGCCUUACCUAUCCUUGCGUACCAACUUGCAAUUAAGGGACUCUGAACAUAUGAUGUCAUACUUUUGGCCAUGAGCCACAUUGCAAGACAACAAUGAAUGUUGACUUAAUAUGAAUAUAAAACUUGGCCAACAAGGCCGUCAUAUUUAUUACAACUGAUAACCCAACCAAAUAUACAUACAAGGCCUGAAAGCCCAACAUACUGCACUAACUGACAAGAUAUGUCUACAAGCCUCUACUAAUGGAUAUACUGUGAUCGAAACGGCUAUCCGACCUACUCUUGACAUAUAUACAUAAGGCUCUAGACCCGGAAACUCCGAAAGACAUGGAGCUUACCGAUCAAGCUGAGCUCGGGCAACACUUAUUGAAGAAGCCUACUCGUUUGUCUGUCUGACCUGCACGCAUGAAAUGCAGCGCCCUCAAAAAAGGGACGUCAGUACGAAAUAAUGUACUGAGUAUGUAAGGCAAUAUACUGAAAGUUGAAACUAAACUGAUAAUAUAUUAACGGCAAGUAGCUGGAAGUCAAAGAUAAUUUGAAGAUAUGCUUACCUGCUGAUAUUGACUCAAUUCUCUCAAUAUAGUAAGUAAAAUAGUUGUCUGGCCCUAUAAGGCUCGGUAUACAUAUAUAUAUUCUGCUCUGCUGUAGUAGGCUCGCUCAUAAGCGCUCGGUCAUACUAGGCUUUGUAUAUCGACCAACUGGGCUCGCUCAUAAGUGCUCGACCACAGUAGGCUCGAUAUAUAUAUAACUGCUCUGCCAUAGUAGGCUCGUUCAUAAGUGCUCGACCAUAGUAGGCUCUGUAUCUCGACCAACUGGGCUCGCUCAUACGCGCUCGGCCACAGUAGGCUCGGUAUAUAGCUUACCAUCUGAUCAGAGGUUUCCCAAUAGGGGCUGCCCAUCGAUUAUAGCUCGAUGGUAAUAAAAAUACUUUUAAUACUAUAUAUAUGUAAUUUCUCUGUUCUCUUGACUAGAAGAAGGAAAUACUCAACUGAAUAUGAAAAUCCCGAUAAGGAGAAUAUUAUAACUUACAACACUAGAAAAAUAUAUGCAAUUUGCGAGACUAGCAAAAUAUACGUAAAUUUCAGGAUAUGAAUGUAAUGACGAGAUCAUGCCAAAUAAAAGAAGAGUUUAGCCUUAACAUACCUGGAUCGAUUCUCUUGAAAAUUCCUCUAACACACGUCUUGUGUGACGAACAUGUAAUAACGGAUUGAAGUAGGAAAAAAUCCGUAUGAUAUUCUUGAGAACGAUUAUACCGGACUUCGUUAGAAUUUCAAAA
rnacentral:lncRNA from 1 species